rnacentral:lncRNA from 1 species
CUAUCCUACUAUCAUAGACCUUUGUCAAGUUAUUACCCCGCCCUCUUGAAUUUGCACCUUAUCUCUGAGGCUGAAUGGUGUUAACGUUUUGGAUUGUCUUGAUGAGUUUAUUUAUAAUGAAUGGUUCUUAUGUUGGUUCUUAUCACUUGGUAAGUUUUCUCAUUGCGGUUGGCGGCAAAGUGUACAGUGGUGAUAGUUUGCCCUUGAUCUUAAGGGGCUCUAGCUGAUUAUUUCAAGUUCCCAGUCUCCCGUCCUAAUUAUAUACUCCCUCCGUCCCAUAAUAUAAGAGCCCUUUUUACACUACACUAGUGUCACUGACGGAGGGAGUAUCUUCCAAGUCUUGGUACCGAUUUCCAGAGGUACCGCAUUGCUAGAUUAUUCAAAACCGCUACUUGGCUAAUCGAUGGAACCCUUGUUACACUGAAACGUCUUUGUUUGAGAUAUAUAAGAGCGUCGAAUGGUUAACUCACCGCAAAUCCUUUGCAUAGGGUUUCUAGGUCUUCAAGUUUCCUCCGCCAUUGAGUGUCAAUAAUGGGGCGCUGUCAUGGUGGGGCAGAUGUCGAUGAUGCUCAUAGGAAUAAUGGUCUCCUAGCCCAUGCUUCUGCUCAUCGGAGGUGUAGCUGGAGAAGCUUGUGGAGUCCAAGCUGUUGGAGCGGUUUCGAUCUGGCCUGCGUCGUGGCGUGGCAGCGGCGAGGAAGAUGGUGGAGGAUUCUGCCGCCUAUUCACGGGCCUUGUCGGGCUAGAUCCAACCUUUCAGGGUUGGUGGCUAUUGCGCUUGUUAAGCCUCCAACCUAGGGGUUACUUCAGCGUCAAAAUGUGGACUAGUUUUUGGUGCUCUCCUUCUCCAGUGACGACGAAGAUGGUGGGUGCUUGGUAGUUGCAGCGAUGGCGGUAUGCAUUGGUACAGCCGUUUAUAAUCUCGUUGUUUUCUGUUGCUUGUAUCUGUAUCAUCUCUUUACUAGUAUUAUAUAAAUACAAGUGAUAUAUGCCUACGGGUGUGCAUUUAUUUUUUUAGCUUUGCAUCUUUUUUUGCUUUGCAUUAUUCACAUCGUUAUGACAAAAUUGGUUGCAGAGUAAUUGACAUAAUUCUCUCGGUCAUGGACCCGAGCAUCACUCUGUAGCUAGCAGUGUCAGCAGUCGACGACACUGCAAGCGGGCAAUUUCCUCACACGACUAUCCUCCAUCCGCUGCCUGACCUCCAUGGCGUCGCUCCAUCUGUCAGCCCCCGCAUACGCAUUGCUCAUCAGCGUGUAGUCCCCGCUGUUCCCGCCGUCCAGUUCCCUGAGCCUCUCGGCGACCACCUCGGCGACGCCCAAAUCGCCGUGCGUUCUGGCCGCCCCCAGCAGUAUCCUGUAGACGACGAGCUCAGGAGCGACGGGCAUCUCGGCGACGAACCUCAGCGCCUUCGUCAGCCGACCGGCGCGCCCCAGGAGGUCGACGACUACGCCAUAGUGCUUCAUCUGCGGCUCCACGCCGUGGACCGACCUCAUGCUCUCGAAGUGGCCGAGUCCCUCCUCGACGAGCUCCGCGUUGGCGCACGCGAUCAGCACGCCGAGGAAGGUGACCUCGUUCGGCCUGAACCCUUCGGCGAUCAUGGCAUGGAAGGCGCUCAGAGCUUCCUCCUCGGCGCCGUUGUUGGCCAUCCCCAUUAUGAUCGAGUUCCAUGACAGGGUGUCCUUCUCUUUCAUUUCUCUGAAGACCUGCAGCGCCUCCUUGGUGCUUCCGCAUUUCGCGUACAUGUCGAUCAGAGAAUUGUGCAGGAUGGUGUCGGCUUCGAUCCCGUGUCGCCUCAUGUAGUCGUGGAUCCACUUGCCGAGAUCGAGAGCGCCUAGGUGCGCGCAGGCAGAGAGUACGCUCGCGAGCACGACAGCGUCCGGUUUCACCUUGGCUCUCUGCAUCUCCCUGAAGAGUUCCAAGGCGUCAGAGAACUGACUAGCUUGCGAAUAUCCAGAUAUCAUAGAGCUCCAUGAGAUCAGAUCUUUGCCAGAAAUUUCCUCGAAUAAUCUUCUUGCCGAAACCAGAUCCCCAGCUUUUGCAUAUGCGGUGAUCAUCGCAUUCAUUGUCACGGUGUCCCUAUCCUUCAUGUUAAAGAAAAUCUUUUCUGCCGAUUGCAGCUGCCCACGUCUGCCAUAGUAAUCUAUCAAAGUAUUGCCCAAGUAGACAUCCACCUCUAUGCAGUAAUCCUCUAUGUACUUGACCAAGCAAUCUGCCAUGCUCCAAUCUCCUAGACGAGUGCACGCAGAAACAACCUUGGCCAUAGUGACCUUAUCAGCUCUAACUCCUUCGUCGUGCAUCAACUUGAAUAACUUCAAAACCUCUUUUAAUCUAUUGCGCCGGCUAUAUCCACAUAUCAAAGAGUUCCAGGACACCACAUCCUUAACCAGCAUCUCAUCGAAAACAGAUCUUGCACAGCACAAAUCACCACAGGCAGCAUACAGAUGAAUCAGCGAAUUGGAAACGAAGAUAUCCGAAAGAAGCCCGAAUUUCAGUACAUGGUUGUGCAUCUGUUUCCCUUCCUUAAGAGCACCAAUCCUUGCACAAGCCUUCACUACAAAUGGGAACGUCAGGUUGUCCGGCUCCAUACAUUUUCCUCGAGCCUUCUUGUAGAAAGCAAUUGCAUCUUCUGGUGCAUCGCUUUGAGCAAGCCCCCUGAGUAUGAUAUUCCGAAGGUAAGUUGUUGGUGCUUCAAUCUGCCCAUAUACUUUAUGAGCAAGAACCAAAUCUGGUUGUAGAAUAGCAUAGAAUCUGAGAAUCUUAGACAUUGCAUAUUGGCAGUUGUGCAGCCCAGAAACAAUGAGACGGCCAUGAAGCUUCUUUAUGGUUUCCAUCAUUACAAUGCUGAAAGAAAACUGGAUUUUUUCAUGAACUGUGGAUCAGUGAGUGGAAAUGCAGUACGGCACAUGUCAUUCAACACCUCUGCUUCCUGCAAGGGAUUACCAAUAUUAGUAGAGAAGCAACAAAAAGUACUAAUACUGUGAACUACUCUCUCCAUCCCAUAAUGUAAGACGUUUUUGCAAACUAUAUUAGCUUGCAAAAACGUCUAAUAUUAUGGGACGGAGGGAGUAGUACAAAAGCGACAAACAAUAAUACUGUGAACUUUUUGAAAGUGGAAUAAACGAGCACACUGUCGAUGCUUAUUAACAGCAUAUAGGAAAAAUAGCGAGCAUUGGAUAAUGAGAUGGUGGUGUUUAAAUACAAAGGUCAUAUGAUUCAACAAUCAUUAAGCAGCCAAGAAGAAAUAAACUGAAUUCUUAGUUCUUUUAACUUUGCAUGAAAGAUAAUAAAUAAAAGGCAAAAUAACACAAUAAACCCACCAUAAAGUAGGAAGGCUAGAUUUUAACGAUGGAACAAAACCUCUUAAAACUAUGUGGAGCUUCUUCCCAAUAAUUUGGUUCCGACUUACUGACUCUCACCAACCAAAGCAAGCCCAGGAACCUUAACAGUAUUCAUCUCAUCUACUAGCUUCCGUGCUCUUUCAGCAUCACUAAACCUUCCAUGCUCAGUGAGCAUAUUGGAUACCACCACAAAAUCACCUCCAGAUUCUCUUUCGAUGUCUAGUAUCUUCUUCAUUGCCCUCUCCGCCAUCUCCACUUCCCCAUACUUGCUGCAACAACCCAGCAGUGUCCUCCAUAUGACUGAAUUAACCUCCAUUGGCAGACCACUUAUUACUUGCUCGGCCUCAUAUAACCGUCCAGCCCUCCCUAGCAUGUCUAUGAUACACCCAAAAUGCUUGAUCUCUGGAGUUAGACUGUAUUCAUACACCAUGGUUUUGAAAAACAGUACUCCUUGCUCGACCAGCCCACCAUGGUUGCAAGCACUGAGAACACUUAAGAAGGUGACUCUGUCAGGCCUGAUUCCAGCUCUUCUCAUCUCUGCAAACAGUUCAACUGCCUCAGUUGACAACCCGUGCAUUGCAAAACCUGAAAUUAUUGAUGUCCAUGACACCAAGUUUCUCCCAUCCAGCAUUUCAUGGAAAAUCUUGAGGGAGUUCUUUAUAGACCCAAUCUUGGCAUACAGGUCUAUGAGCGAAUUCCCAACUCGGAUAUCCAACACAAGAAGACCCUUCUUCUCACAAUAGCCGUGCAAUGUCUCGCCCAAAAGAAUCCUUCCAAUAUUAGAUACCGCAGGCACAACCGCUAACACGGUUAUCUCGCUUGGAUCAAUGCCUUCUGCCAUCAUGCGGCGAAAGAGAGCAACGGCCUCUACCGAGCGGCAGGAGCGCGUGUACCCAUCAAUCAUCCCGGUCCACGAGACAAUAUUCCUACAGGGCAUCCGCUCAAAGAGCAGCCUGGCGUACUCAACCUCGCCCCGCGCAGCAAACCCGGUGAUCAUCACGUUCCAAGUAACCGCAUUCUUCGCCGGCAUCUCGUCGAACGCACCACGAGAUUCCGCCAGGCACCCGCACACAACAUAGGCGUUGACCAGGGCGGUGUGCACAUAGGCGUGGAACUCGAACCCCUUGCGGACGGCAAGCCCGUGCAGCUGCGCGGCAGCCCGCGGCCACGCCAGGGCCGCGCAGGCCCCAAGGGCGUGCACGAAGGCGUAGGUGUCGUCGGCCGCGUGCCGGCGUGCGUCCCUGAAGAGGCUCAGGGCCUCCUGCGGGAGAGGGCCGCGGGAGUAGGCCUUGAGGAGCGCGUGCCACGGCGUGGGCCGCCGGUCGAACACCUGGCGGGCAACGAGCUGGGCGUGGAUCUGGAGGAGCGGGCGCCUCUCCGCCUGGUGCCUCAGGAGGAGGGCGACCAGGCCCCGGGCGUGGGCGGCGGCGGCGGCGGCAUGGAAGGGCGCGCAUCCCUGCCUCAGGAGGUCAGCCGGGAACCGCGCCAUGAGGGGGGCUCCGUCUUCUGCAGCCCUACCCAACGCCUCUCUCGUCUACUUAGAAUAUGUCAUGGUGCAAUGGAGAGAGAGAGAGAGAGAGAGAGAGAGGCAUUACCUUGUCUGGAGAGAAGAGGUGGAGGAGGCUGGACUCGAAAUCGUCCGAGGCUUUCUCCCUCCCGCGCCGGCGUCCAAGACAAAAAGAUUGUGUUUUUGCUUUCCCUUCCCGGGCGUACUACAUUGCUCUGUUGACAGUUGACACGAGGCAACUCGCCGCCCGAACCUCUCGUUCCUCGAUGUUGCGCAGGGUCCUCGCCGGAGCGAUCGCGCGCCUCUCCGGCCCCGGAUUCUCCAACCCACCGCCGAGGAGACGGCCUCUCCUCCCGCCCAACGCCCCGCGCCUCUCCACCGCGCGGGUGCCGUCCGGCGGCGGCGAGGGCAGCGAGGGGGAGGAUGACGACGACCCGUUCUCCUUCCCGGACCAGCAGCAGCUCCCGCCGGACGUGGCGCGCGGCGUGGACGCCGUCGUCGCGGCGGCCGAGGGCGCCCACCUGGACGCCGCGCGCGCCGGGGCGCUCCUGGAGCAAUGCGGCGCCGCGGCCUCGGAGACGCUCGUGGUGGCCGCGCUCUCGCGCCUCCGCAACAGCUGGGCCGCCGCGCACGCCGCAUUCCGGUGGGCCGCCGCGCGGGGGCGGCCGCAGCCCGGGUACGCCCCCGGGCGCCACGCGUGCCACUCCAUGCUCGCCAUCCUCGCCAGGCACCGCCGCUUCGACGACGCGCGCGCCCUGCUCGACGAAAUGCGCCGCAGGUCGCUCGCGUCGCCGAGGGCGGUGCUCCUCCUAAUCCGGCGCUACUGCGCCGCGCGGGACGUUGCUAGCGCGAUCGCCGCGUUCCGCGCACUCCCGAGCUUCGGCAUUGAGCCCGGGGUCGUCCAGUUCCAUGGCCUCCUCGGCGCCCUCUGCCGGUACAAGAACGUCAAGGACGCGGAGCACCUGCUUCUGUCCAGCGAGAGGGAGUUCCCGUUCGAGACCAAGGGCUUCAACAUCGUGCUCAACGGCUGGUGCAACAUGGUCUGCAGCGUGCGGGAGGCCAAGAGGUUUUGGACCGUCAUGGAGCUCAGGGGUGUCGCGAGGGACGUUGUGUCUUAUGGGAGUAUGAUCUCGUGCUUCUCGAAGGCUGGGAGCUUGGAUUCGGUCAUGAAGCUCUUUAACCGCAUGAAGGAGGCCGGCAUCGUGCCAGACCGGAAGGUGUACAAUGCAGUUGUGCACGCGCUCGCUAAGGGACGGUGUGUGGACGAGGCAAGGGCUCUUGUCCGGAGCAUGGAGGAGAAGGGGGUUACACCGGACACGGCCACUUACAACUCCCUCAUUCGGCCUCUUUGCAAGGCUCGUCAGGUCCAGGAGGCAAGGGAGAUGUUUGAUGAGAUGGUAGGAAGGGGGCUGUUGGCAUCAGUGAGGACAUUCCAUGCAUUGUUCGAUGUUGCUACGAGCCCCACUGAGGUCUUUGAUCUGUUGGAUAAGAUGAAGACACUGCAUUGCGAGCCAGAGAUGGACACUUAUAUUAUGUUGAUCCGGAAGUUCUGCAGGUGGAAGCAGCACGACAGUGUGGAGAAACUGUGGAACGCAAUGCCUGCAAACGGGCUGACCCCUGAUCGGAGUGCGUACAUUGUGUUCAUACAUGGAUUGUUCCUGAAUGGGAAGCUAGAGGAAGCUGCAAAGUAUUAUGAGGAGAUGAAAGCCAAGGGAUUUUCACCUGAGGAGAAGACUGAAUCAAUGAUACAGGCGUGGCGUUCAGGCAGAGAGCUCGCCAAGGCGUCAGCUUCUGCCGGUUCAAGAAGUGGUUCGGUGUCUCUCAAAGUAACUCGUAGAGAGUGGUAAAGAUGAAGACCACUUGGAAGUGAUCUAUAGAAACAGACAUGGGUGUCGUUUUGGAGUAACUGGUAAACUUUGGAGAGAGAUUAUUUGGUUAUUCCUAAAGAUGAGUCUGAUUACCCUUGAGUGAUCUUCAUCUACGUUGUUGUGGCCGGUUUGGUCAAGGAAGCCACGCUUGCAAGGGCCCUGACUUUCGUUAAGAGUUGUCAGCCAUGACCUCAGCUGAGGGUAUGCUGUUCGGUUUCCUUUGUUCAAGUCUGUAUCAAACUUUCUUCCUUCUAAUAGAAUGGGCAGAGCUCUGCCGUAUUCGAAAGUAGUAUGUUUGCCCAGUUAUUUUCAUUCUCACUAGAUUGCUUGGUUGUAGGUUGGAAUUAGAAAGUGCAAACUAUGGUUUAUCCUGUUUAAACUUGGAUAGGCAUCACUUUGCUGUAACCCUUCUUUUGUAGCUCAUACUCCCUCCGUCCGAAAAAGCUUGUCCCUCAAAUGGAUGUAUCUAGCACCAAGUUAGUGCUAGAUACAUCCAUUUGAGGGACAAGUUUGGGACAAGCUUUUUCGGACAGAGGGAGUAGUUUGUACUGGGUACAUGUUCAAUGAUUGGUUCACAACAUAUAAUGACUGUCCACCAUAUUCAUACUGGUCCGACUCGCAUACUUUCGCAUAAUAAUAUGGGCAGAUAUUUUAGCUUUACAAAAUAUAAUGACGAAUACAGCUCAUUUCAUAUGGUUUGAUACUAAAUACUCCCUCCGUUCCUAAAUAUAAGUCUUUUAAGAGAUUCCAUUACAAACUACAUACGGAUAUAUAUAGACAUGUUUUAGACUUUAGAUUCACUCAUUUUGCUCCGUAUGUAGUCCAUGGUGGAAUCUCUAAAUAGACUUAUACUCCCUCCGUUCCUAAAUACAAGUCUUUUUAGAGAUUCCACUACAAACUACAUACGGAUGUAUAUAGACAUAUUUUAGAGUGUAGGUUCACUCAUUUUGCUCCGUAUGUAGUCUAUAAUGGAAUCUCUAGAAAGACUUAUAUUUAGGAACGGAGGAAGUAUUUAGGAACGGAGGGAGUACACAUUUUCAGUAUGUAUCUGUAUUCAAUAUUAGCAGUUACAUUUUCAUGCUUACAACAAUUCCAUUAGUUUACUGGCAUAUUCACAUGUAACCAUUUAGUGACCACUGAUCCCACUGCAGAAUCCGCCGCUGUCUGAAGCUUUAGGUUACAAUUUUCUUCUUGGCAAACAUAUUUUUCUCUUUCUGUCAGCUAGCCAUUGCAACCUUUCUGAUAGCAUUAAUUCAGUGCAUGUGCACACUAAAUAGUCCAGCUACAGGAGCACAUUGGAUCGAAGCUGGAGCGGGUUGCUGCCAGCCUGCUUGUAAUCAAUGAAUCUGUUGAUUCUGAGGUGAGCGUCUACCAGAAUUCCAGUUAUAUCUGAUCAGUUAGGUGUUAUUUUCUCUGCUAUCACGCGGCUUCAGUUAGGCCUAGUGGCUAGUGGAUUUGAUCAUACCGACGAUAAUAUGGUAUGAGCCAAAAAUUUAUCUUCGCAUGUGAUGUUUCAAGACCUUUCUGUAAUAUCCUGUAGGAUAUCCCUGCUAACAGCAAGUGGCUUGUUCUGUCAGUUGUCACUACAUAUAUCCUGAUCUCUGUUAUGCAGUCCAGUCUCCAAAAGAUGGUGUUGAUGCAAGUUGCUUUAGAUUUUGUUGAUAAGACGAUGACUGGUAAUGGAUACAGUUAUGGUGAAAACAACUUGCUUUCUCUGUACAAGCUACAGCCAACUGAGCCAUGCUUGUCAUGCUAGUGCCCACUGUCAAUUUCAUGGCAUCUUAUAGCUGCUAGCCUGCAAGUGUCGCUAACUCAUAUGACUCAUGAUGCAGACUAACAUGGUGCAUGAUCACGUCCCAACUUUAACCGAUAGCUGCGUGGUCGACUACCAGUUGCAGUCUGCCUGUUCAUGUAUGCACUGAAUGUUACCAUUAUACUGUUAAUAUCUGAACCCACUGUAACCAAAUUCGGAUAAACACUGAAUAUAUUUUUGAAAACAAUUGGAAGAGGUGAAAAAUGAAAUAUCAGCUGUGAAAUAAUCAUAUAUUACCUCCGUCCCAAAUUACUUGUUUCUAGAUACAGAUGUAUCUAACACUAAAACUGUCUAUAUACGUCCGGUCUAGAUACAUCCGUAUCUAGACAAAUCCAAGACAAGUAAUACAGGACGGAGGGAGUAUAUGUUUCAGAUUGAUCAAGGGUCAGAAGAACAAGUUUGGUGUUUAGGCUUGAUAUUAUUAUGAGAAUAAAACCACAUGUUUGUUCAGAAUACCAAAUUUACAGAUCGAAACCAAAGAAUAAAUACUGCUACAAGCCUACCACCACAUCUUCAGAAUCAUGCCUGGGAAAUUUCUACCUCUUUCUAGUUCAACAAAGUAAGUAUUUGUCUAAUCACUUCUAUUUCCAAUAAUUUACACCAGAUCUUUCUUGUUCCAUCUCAGAAUGGUGGCAAGAUUGUUUGCCACAUCGGCCUCAUCAUCUGCGGCGAGCUCAUCGGCUGCAGGUAGCCGCUGCCGUUCUGCCCAGGCAUCGUCGCCGGGUUCACCAUCUGCCCCAUGUUCAUAUAACAAGUCUGCAGGUCGUCCAUACUCAGGCCGGUGAACCAGUCGCUGUCCUCCUUCACCGUCACCAUGCCGCCCCUCGGCUGCCCCUGCGCCAUGUCCAUGAAGCCGUGCUGCUGCAGGCCGGAGGCGCUGUCGAUCUCCGAGGAGUCGUGCGUCUGGAAGCUGUCAGACAUGGCGUCGGUCGCCAACGCGUCCAUGACCUCCCCGUUCGGCCCGGCCUCCACAGCCAUGUCCUGCUCCACCUUGAGCUUCUCCCAGUUGUUCUUCUUGUUGUACAGCCGGCACAGCACCCAUUCGUCCAACUGCAAUAGCCGCACAUCACAGAAAGAGAAGAUCAGUAUUCAGUAUUGAUCGAUCAGAAUUGUUGGUGAGCAAACUGCAAAGUGGAAGACGCCGGGGUUACCUUGAGGGACCCCUUCUUGCCGGGCGCGCGGUCGGCUUCGGCGAUGCGGUACUCGUGCAUGAUCCAGUCGGUCUUGACGCCCCUGGGCGCCCUGCCGGAGUAGAAGACGAGCGCCUUCUUGAUGCCGACCGUCCGGCCGCCGCUCUCCUUGGGCGCCACGGGCUUGUCGGCGCCCGUGGCCUUCCAGUAGCCGGUGCCGGCGGAGCGGUUGGGGCGCGAGCCGUUGGGGUACUUGCGGUCGCGCGGCGUGAAGAAGUACCACUCCCUGCUCCCGAACAGCGCCCUCUCUGCACGAACGCAAAGGUCAGCACGGCACACAUUGAACCAAGAAGGAGGAAGGAGAAGAGAAAACAGGGGAGAAGGCGCACCGGGCAGAUCCCAGGGGUUGAACUUGUAGAGAUCGACCUCGGCGAUGAUGGGCACGGGCUGCGGCUGGCCGGCCACCUUCCUGCAGAGGUAGUGCACGACGAGCUCGUCGUCCGUGGGGUGGAAGCGGAAGCCCGGCGGCAGGUUGAGCUCCGCCUCCGCGUCCCUCCGCCCGCUGCUCCCCUCCGCCGCCGCCGCCGCCGUCGUCGACUCGGCCUUCACCAUUGCCGUCAUCAUUCUCCUCCCCGCGCUCGCUCGCUGCACCACCUCCCAGAAAACCCCGGCCCUCGCGCGGUCGUGCCGCGGUGUUGGAAGAGAAGAGAAGAGAAGAGAAAGGCGGCUGGUUGUGAUACCGCCUCCUGGGACCUGGAGCCUUCUCUUUUGUUGAUGGCUCGUUUCCUUGGCGACCAAGUACGUUUGUAGGGUGGGGCGCCCGGGGCGGCUAUAUACGGGCCCCCGCCCGCGCCACGUGGGCCGUGGCGGGCCCGCGCGUGUCCCCGAGCUGCUCGUGGGCUUCGUUGUUUGGAUGAGGAGGACGGCCAUGCGCUGCUGCGCGGAAGUUUCCCGCGGCGACAAGAGUUUGACCCUCCCGACGGCCGGGCUGAAAGGGACGGAAGGGUCAAAAGCGCGCGGGGGCGACAUCCGGGAGGGAUUUUCCGGCGGGAAAAUAUAUCCCCGCGACCACCCCGGCGGCUCGUCGAAUGGCCGUGCGUCUAGGUGGUGCGUCGGCGGGCGCGGGCUGGUCCUCUGUGUUCUGGACCUCUCAUCUGCAUUGCGGCACGUGCGGAUUGUGCUUCUUGGCUGUGAGCUGCGGCAGCCAUGAACGAACGUACGAGGACACGAGGUUACGAUCGGCGCAUGACAUGCAUGAAGGUUUUCCAUCGCGCCUUGGAUUUUUCUCCGGGGAAAACUUUUAAAGGUUGAGGGAUCACGCUAGCUAUCUAGAACGCUAGAUGGCCCUUCGAAGAUGCCAUUGUUUAGUUUCAGCCUAUAAACGUGGAAAAAAAAACGUGGAUAUGAACCAUCCUUUACGACGGGUAGCUUAAACAUGAGGGAACGCAAGCGUGCCUGUUAUGUUUAUAGUUAAGUGACCCAUUGCGAACCAACCUGUGGUUGGAUGGUUAGAGGGACAGUGUUAUCCCCAACCCACCAGGAUUCAAGUCCGCUUUUCGUGGGAGGAGACGAUUCAGUCGACGACGAGACGCGUAUAGUGACUUCGUAAAUCUCAAGAUGAUAUGCCAGCUCGGUCUCUUGAAAGUGCUUAUAGGAGUAGAGUGUGCAUGUGUGCGUUCGUAGGGCUGGGUGUAUGCGCAUAUGUAUGAGCGUUUGCGUCUGUACUAUGUGCUUUUGUAGGCUAAAUUUAAAAAAGAAAAACGUCAAUGGAGCAUAAGAUAUUUUUUGAUAGUUUAAUAUGGACUACAUACAGAUUGAAACGAGUAACAAACACAUUAAAACGUGUCUACGUACAUCUAGGUUACAACAUCUUAUGUUCAUGAACGAAGGAAGUACAUACGACAUUUGUAUUGCGUAUAACAUGGAUUAUUGCCGUCCUAUAACAUAGUUAAUUCCCAUGUCGGACACAGAAGGAUAUGCUUGGAACACUAUUUAUCUUCGCAAUUCAUAAUUCUCAUGUCGAUCGACAGAACAGAAGGAUAUGCUUAGAACAUCACAACAUUUAAACAAUUCAAGUUCCUCGAAAAGAAAUUUUAAACAAUUCGAGAGGAUAAUACUCAAGCUUGGCCUGUUCAUACCGAAGCAUACCUAGUGCCAUCUGUUUACCUAGUCAGGGACACCUAGAGAGACAGCCAGAGUAGGUGUAUCUCCUCUUAGUUAUCUGUAGUAAAAUAAAGAAACCUGGCCCCAAUCUGCACGUGCCUCCCUCCUCCUGGAUGGCCAUCCCAUCUACGUGCGCUGAACCUGAACCUUACCCGGGUGCGCCUCCAGCCGCGACGGCGGGGUGGGGUGGCGAGCAAAUCCUCGACUCGGCGGAGGUGCGGUUGGUCGGCCAGCCGUAUGGCAGAUAAAAGAAAAAGCACAGCGCCUUGUCGACGGCCGAGGUUUCUCAUUCCCCCGGCGGUGGACUACGGUAUGAAAUUGGAGCCGAAAAGGACGGACGGGCCGUCGGGCGGGCGGCCAGUUCCGGGGAAAGCGAUGAACUUUUUGUCGUGGUGACAGUGAGCUUCCGUUUUCCCAUGGGCCAAAACUGGGUUGGGCUGGGGAUUUUCUUCAGUUUAAUUUACAGAUUGCCGUGUUCAUUUGCUGUCAGGUUACCGCACUUGGUAUCGCACAGCUGGUGACUGCCGGGAUUAGCUGUCAUCCGGUGAGUAGCAUGUCGCGUUGCAUACAUCACUGGCCGUGUCUCAGCUAUCGGAAUGACAGGGAGCACUCGAGAUAUUAUCCACCGAUGCUUUGGUGGGCGCUCGAUAGAUUUAUGUGGAAGCUUUCUUUCUGUUUUGUUCCAUAAACUAUUGCGGAAAUUGAGAUUAAGACAUGUGGGAGGAGGUGUGUGGGCAAGUUAACUGCAUUUCGGCAUCGUAGUUGAUUUUACUUUGUGGUGCGCUUUCAGAAAAUGAAAACCAAGUUACCACCGGCUUGCCAAACAGGGGAGUAUCCAAACUCCACACCACAGCCAGCAGUGUCGACGUUGGGGCUAUAUAGAGCCCAGUCCGGAGUGACGGUUCUGUAAUUGGCAAAGUCGUCAUCAGAGACAGAUUCGGCAGGGCAUUCUCGGCUAUUUUCUCUAGCUAGGGUUGAUUCAGUCUUUCCGAUUCGGUGUCCUAGUGCUUUCCUUCUUGUCCGACUCCAUCACCAUGCGCUUGUGUCCUUGCUUGCGAUCGUCUCCCUCGGUACCGUCUCUCGGGAUCGGGGUGUCAGUUUUUUUUCUCCAGUUCUCGAUCCAAACACAUCAAUGUAAGCCUUUCGCGUGUGCUAGGGCACGCGGCCGUACACCACCCCACCUACAUCGUCUAUGAGCGUUCCAUGGAGAACGUGACUGUCACAUGCGGAGAAAAAGGUCGUAUGAAUAAUUGUCGUUGCGGACCAACCUGCGGUUAGAUGGUUAUAGGAGGACAUUGAUAUUCUAAGCCCACCAGGGUUCAAGUCCUAGACUUGACAUUGGUGCUCGCAUUAUUUCUGAAUUUAUUUCAGGCUUCCGGCCAUGUUCGUUCAGUGGGAGGAGACGUUUCCGCCGACCACGAGGCGCCUAUGGUAACUUCGUAAAAUCUGAAGAUGCUAUGCCGGCUCAAUCUCUCGGAGAUGCUCAUAAGGGUAGAGUGUGCGUGCGUGCGUUCAUAGGGGUGAGUGUAUGCUGGUGUAUGUGAGCAACUUCAAUUGUACAGUGUCCAUAAAAAAGGGAAGGAUUGUCGUUUAUGAAAUGAGACUCGAGGAUAAGGAAGAUAUUCAUUGUCAAUCAUCUCAACACAAAGAUUAUUGGAGCUUACAAAGUCACAUGUGAUAAUUAGAAGACCCCAAGUGAGGACAACUCCAAGGAGGUCUCUAGUGAAGAAUUUGGUCUUAUGAACCACAACUUCAACAAGAUGUACUCCAAAAACAAAUUCAAGACCAACGACCGCAACUACUCAAGAUCAAGGAAAGAGUGGCACGAGGUCUAGCCUAAAGGAGAGGCAUUGUAAUAGUUUUGGACAAUCCAGAUUCUUCAUUACCAAUUGUCAUGAAUCUACCAAGAAGAAUGCAGGAUCUCCAAGAAGAGAAAGAAUGGGCAAUGAUGUCAUGAAAGAAACAAGAUACUAGACAGACAUGGAUGCACAGAGAAAGGCGAAUACCCCCAAGAUAUACUCCAAGUGCAAGUCAAACACAAAUAUUGGUGAAUGGGUAUCCAACUCCAAAUCCGAGUCAAACUACUACAUUGGCUUCUUUUAGUGAUGAUGAAGGUGUUGCCGUAAUUGAACUGGUCGCCACCAAGCCUAAGUAUUUAUUUGACUCUCCAAAUGAAGGUGGUGGAUCUUCAAGAUGCUUCAUGGCCAAUGGCCCUAAGUUAACACAUCCCCCGAGUUCAUUGAUUUUAAUAGCGAUGUAGAUGAUUUGCUUGAUGAAGAGGAAGUUGACAUUUUGAGUUACGACACACUUGCUAAAAUGCGUGAGAAGCAAGAAGAGUUUCUUAUAAUGCGAGGAGCAAAAAUGAGGCUCUGACUAGUGAGCUUGAAAAACUCAAGUCAAAAUACCAAUUCAUGCCCAUGGUCAUAAAGAGACUUUGAAAGAUUGAGAGGCUGGACCUCGAGAUGCUCAACUUGAAGCAAAAUCAUGAUUACCUCAAAGCCCUUAAUGACAAUCUUCAGCCUAUGAGUGCAUCUCAUAUUUCUAAGAAACUCCUAGCCGCUCAAUACAUACCACAAGCCUCAACUCAAAUCACUUGAAAUGGCUCAAACCAUGCACCUACUUCAUCAUCGAACAUAAUUCCACAGAUUUCUAGAUCCUCGCAUAUCAUGGCACCAAAUGUGCAUGUUUAUGUGGAUUCACCUAACUCUUAUCUUAACCAAGUUGCAUUUGAGAAAAAAAUGCUAUAUUGAAGGGAAUCCUAGAAAAGAGAUUUUAUAAGAGCAUCAUAGGAAGCUAGAAACUCAAUGAGAUCUAGUGCAAGCAAGGACAACAUCGUCGCAAUGAUAGUGUUGGUUUCGAGAAUUUAUUUAUUUUGUUUGAGCUUCAGGAACCAGAUUCAGCUUUGCUAGUGAAGCUGAAUAUCGAAUCUGAAACAAACAACUAUUUUGAAUUAGCUUUGUCAGUGUAGCCAGCUUUGCUAGUGAAACUAGAUCUCGAAUUUGAGACAAACUGCUAUUUGGAACCAGCUUUGCCAAUGAAGCUGAAUCUGUAUUCAACCCAUUUUUAGUGCAAUUUGCCGAAGCACCUCAAAGUGUACUUCGGUGGCAAAGCUGAUUCUGCGAAUCAACUUUGUCACUGAACUACAGGUGAUUCGAAUCCUAUCAAAGCUGAAAUAAAUAAGGAAUUAUAUCACUGUGAAUCAGCUCCGCCACUUAACCAAAUCCACAAUUGAUUGGAAUCUUGUCAAAACUGAAACAAAUAGGGCCUAUAUAUCUUGUAAAAUAAAUAUCCACACAAAAAUCAUGUGAUGAGAAAUUUAGGAAUAUGUAAAAAAAAUGUUUGUUAGAUUUAAAAUGAAAACGUAUAUUUGGUUGGGUGAAAAGUGUGAAUUAUAUAUGUGACACCACCAUUUGCUUGCAUCUAAAAAGGGAUUUGAAGUGACUCUUUUCAGAAAGUCGUAUGCUUGGCUCUAAACUAAUGUGGCCCCAAAUGACUCAUGGAUAAAAUAUGCUGAAGAAACAACUUAAAAAACAACUAACAUAGCAAACUAAGUACCAAAAGGAGACACAACUUGAUUGUUGAGAUCCAUAUCAACCAACACAAUCCCCAACGGAGCCAAGUUGGAUGUUGGUAGUCAAGCCUAAAGGGACGCAAAGGAAUGAUCACAUAUUUUUUCACCAUAGAAUGACCAUCCCACGUUGUGAUAGCUUCCAUCUCCAUGCCAAAGAGGGUCACAUGCCCUCCCGCCCUGGCUUGAAGGGUGCCACAUAACCAGCCAACAGAGUCACGCACCCUAGAGCUUGAAUGGAAGAAAAUGACAAAGUUGCCAUGGAGCCGAACCUAGCAUGACCACACACCUGGCCGAGCUCGCAGCAAGAGCAGCACCGCUGUCGCAACAGGACCACUUGAUCUGAUGUGUCACAGAGGACAAAGUAGUAGCACCAAAGGAAAGAGACGACACCAUCAUCGCCUAAAGCUAGGUCCCGCAGAGCAAUGCUACCUACUUUCGCCAUCCUCGACCCGCCGUUGUUUGCCGGAGAAGAACCAUAUCCCUUCUCUCCCAGAAUGAGGGUACGAACCACACAUAAGGGGCAAAGAGCACUCACAGAUGUAGGUUGGGAGAGACACAGGGGGCCAAGCCACCGUUGUACCCAUUGCGUAUGACCCUACUCGCUCACAAACUCUUUGUCUCAAGGAGGAUCCUCCAAGAAGGUUAACAUGUUGGAGCACAGUUGCCACCCAAUCCGAGAAGGACUUUGGGUNNNNNNNNNNNNNNNNNNNNNNNNNNNNNNNNNNNNNNNNNNNNNNNNNNNNNNNNNNNNNNNNNNNNNNNNNNNNNNNNNNNNNNNNNNNNNNNNNNNNNNNNNNNNNNNNNNNNNNNNNNNNNNNNNNNNNNNNNNNNNNNNNNNNNNNNNNNNNNNNNNNNNNNNNNNNNNNNNNNNNNNNNNNNNNNNNNNNNNNNNNNNNNNNNNNNNNNNNNNNNNNNUGGCACCUCCAAGCCCCAUUGCGCGUCACAAUCGAAACCCCAACAGUAUCACCCUACCCCUCAGGCGCAAUCCACCCUAGUCCUUGUCCUAGAUUUGGUAGCCAGAAGCACAAAUCUGAAUCCUUGGAGCAGAAGAGCUUAGUGGAAUGAUGACCUUCACAACAGGCACAUGAGGAUGAUGGACCACCACACACGCGGCGACCAACACCCGUCCCCUUCACCACUGGCACGGCCAAUAUGAUCAACUAGCAUUUGCGCACGUCAUGUGUCGCAAGGUGAGCACCUCCCACCUCCUCGAGGCCGCCACCUCAAAUGCAAAGGUCCACCAUGAGACCGCGAUGCAAGGAGGUCCCAUCCACCUUUAGUUACGCGCACCCAAGCUUGCCUGCCAUUUGCCUGUUGCGGCACUGGGGAGGGGGCGAGGGGUGUAGCAACAAGGAUGACGUGAGUGCCAAGAGUGGUUUUCAUUCGAAAGUGAAUUACUCGCUCUGCUUUGAAUUAAUUGAAUUUCUAGCUUUGUUCUAUGUCAAACUUAUUUAAGUUUGAUAUAUGGAAAGCACACUAUACGCUUGGUAACACUUAAAUGUUUGACUUAAUAUAAAUUUGGAACUUUUAUUGAUGUGGAACUAAGGAAAUACUAUUUGUUCAUAGUAUUAUCGUCCUCUCUUAAAUAGAGGCCCAAAUGCACAAGCUGCCUGAGAUCUAAUGGUUGAUACGUCUCCAACGUAUCUAUAAUUUUUGAUUGCUUCAUGCUAUAUUAUAUUCUGUUUUGGAUGAUUAAUGGGCUUUGUUAUACACUUUUAUAUUAUUUUUGGGACUAACCUAUUAACCGGAGGCCCAGCCCAGACUUGCUGUUUUUUUGCCUAUUUCAGAGUUUCGCAGAAAAAGAAUAUCAAACGGAGUCCAAACGGAAUGAAACCUUCGGGAACAUGAUUUUCGGAACGAACGUGAUCCAGAGGACUUGGACCCUACGUCAAGACAUCAACCAGGAAGGCACGAGGUAGGGGGGCGCGCCUACCCCCCUGGGCGCGCCCUCCACCCUCGUGGGGCCCACGUUGCUCCACCGACGUACUUCUUCCUCCUAUAUAUACCUACGUACCCCCAAACCAAUAGAAGCAUCCAUGAAAACCUAAUUCCACCGCCGCACCCUUCUGUACCCGUGGGAUCCGAUCUUGGGGCCUUUUCCGGCGUCCUGCCGGAGGGGGCAUUGAUCACGGAGGGCUUCUACAUCAACACCAUAGCCUCUCCGAUGAUGUGUGAGUAGUUUACCUCAGACCUUCGAGUCCAUAGUUAUUAGCUAGAUGGCUUCUUCUCUCUUUUUGGAUCGCAAUACAAUGUUCUCCCCCUCUCUUGUGGAGAUCUAUUCGAUGUAAUCUUAUUUUGCGGUGUGUUUGUUGAGACCAAUGAAUUGUGGGUUUAUGAUCAAGUUUAUCUAUGAACAAUAUUUGAAUCUUCUCUGAAUUCUUUUAUGUAUGAUUGGUUAUCUUUGCAAGUCUCUUCGAAUUAUCAGUUUGGUUUGGCCUACUAGAUUGAUCUUUCUUGCAAUGGGAGAAGUGCUUAGCUUUGGGUUCAAUCUUGCGGUGUCCUUUCCCAGUGACAGUAGGGGCAGCAAGGCACAUAUUGUAUUGAUUCCAUCGAGGAUAACAAGAUGGGGUUUAUAUCAUAUUGCAUGAGUUUAUCCCUCUACAUCAUGUCAUCUUACUUAAAGCGCUACUCUGUUCUUUUGAACUUAAUACUCUAGAUGCAUGCUGGAUAGCGGUCGAUGUGUGAAGUAAUAGUAGUAGAUGCAUGCAGGAGUCGGUCUACUUGUCGCGGACGUGAUGCCUAUAUACAUGAUCAUACCUAGAUAUUCUCAUAACUAUGAUCAAUUCUAUCAAUUGCUCAACAGUAAUUUGUUUACCCACCGUAAUACUUAUGCUCAUGAGAGAAGCCACUAGUGAAACCCAUGGCCCCCGAGUCUAUUUUCCGUCAUAUUAAUCUCCCGAACACAAGUUAUUUCUUUUGCCGUUUAUUUUGCUUUCUUUACUUUGCAUCUUUAUCAUAAAAAUACCAAAAAUAUUAUCUUAUCAUAUCUAUCAGAUCUCACUUUCGUAAGUGACCGUGAAGGGAUUGACAACCCCUUUAUUGUGUUGGUUGCGAGGAUUUUAUUUGUUUGUGUAGGUGCGAGGGACUCGUGUGUGGCCUCCUACUGGAUUGAUACCCUGGUUCUCAAAAACUGAGGGAAAUACUUACGCUACUUUACUGCAUCAUCCUUUCUUCUUCAAGGGAAAACCAACGCAGUGCUCAAGAGGUAGCAAGAAGGAUUUCUGGCGCCGUUGCCGGGGAGGCUUACGCAAGGUCAAGUCAAGAUUUGAGCUCCCAUCAAGGAGCCAUUUCUGGUGCCGCUGCCGGGGAGUCUACGCAAAAGUCAACAUACCAAGUACCCAUCACAAACCCUUAUCUCCCGCAUUACAUUAUUUUCCAUUUGCCUCUCAUUUUCCUCUCCCCCACUUCACCCUUGCCGUUUAUUCGCCCUCUCUUUUCCGUUCACCUCUUUUUCGCGUGCUUCUUGUUUGCUCGUGUGUUGGAUCGCCAUCUUGUCGUUAUGGCUAGUCCCAUAUCUUCUCCGUUGUCUCCCGAAAAUGAAGUUCUUAAUUUUAAGCAAAGGGAAGGAGAAAAUCUAAAAGACGCUUGGUAUAGAAUUUGCAAUGCUCAAAAUAGAUCUACCAGGAAGCAAUCUACUUCCAUUCUUCUCUGCAAUUUUUAUGUAGGCGCUACUCCUUGGUACAAAUAUAUCCUUGAUACCAUUACCGGAGGGAAUUUCUUGGGUAGCCAUACUUUUGAUUCUUAUAAUGCUAUGAUAGAUUUGUUUGGCUCACCACCUCUUUUGGUUAAUGAAACUAUGUUAACUUUGGAGCAUGUAAUGCAAAGACUUGAAAUAAUUGAAAAUAAAGUUGCUACCGUAGAGUUAAUUGAAAAUUUGGAUAAAAAGAUCCACAACCAAAUUACCCAAUAUGGAUCUGAAGUAGGAGUCAUUUUGAAAAAUAUUAGGGAGAAGGAACCCAUAGUUAAUGAAAGAUAAAUCAGGAUUCCACUAGAAUCGAUAAACUUGAGGGUAUCAUUACCAACUUGGGAACCUCUUUUUCUUCCGUAAAGAAUACUCCAAGUCCUCCAACUAAAAUUGCCAAGCUUAUGUAUGUUCCUAAAAAUAAGGGUGAAUCCUCUAGCAAGGAAACUGCGGAACUCAAAUCUAUAAGUAUUCAUCCCAAUCUUUUUGCUAUCAUUAAGGAACCAUUUGCUACAAAUGAUUUUUUCAAUUUUGUGCCUAGAAGUUUGAUUAUUAAUAAAAAGAAAGAAAUUCCUAAGGGUGAUAGAUGUCUCAUUAAACAAUUGCCUACCAAAGAUGGCAAUACCUAGAUCUAUCCUUGCUAUUAUGCCUAGCUAGGGGCGUUAAACGAUAGCGCUUGUUGGGAGGCAACCCAAUUUUAUUUUUAUUUUUUUGCUUUUUGCUUCUGUUUAGGAAUAAAUCUUUGAUCUAGCCUCUGGUUAGAUGCGUUUUUAUGUUUUAAUUAGUGUUUGUGCCAAGUUAAACCUAUAGGAUCUUCUUGGAUGAUAGUUAUUUGAUCUUCCUGAAAAUUCUAGAAACUUUCUAUUCACGAAAAUAAUUGUUAAAAAUCAUCAGAACAUGAUAAAAUAUUGAUUCCAAUUGCUGCUGAUCAAUAAACAAAUUGUCUAGGUCGUCCUAUUUUUUCUGAGUUUUUGGAUUCCAGAAGUUUGCGUUAGUUACAGAUUACUACAGACUGUUCUGUUUUUGACAGAUUCUGUUUUUCGUGUGUUGUUUGCUUAUUUUGAUGAAUCUAUGGCUAUUAAAAUAGUUUAUAAACCAUAGAGAAGUUGGAAUACAGUAGGUUUAACACCAAUAUAAAUAAAGAAUGAGUUCAUUACAGUACCUUGAAGUGGUGUUUUGUUUUCUUUCGCUAACGGAGCUCACGAGAUUUUCUGUUAAGUUUUGUGUUGUGAAGUUUUCAAGUUUUGGGUAAAAUAUUUGAUGGAUUAUGGAACAAGGAGUGGCAAAAGCCUAAGCUUGGGGAUGCCCAUGGCACCCCAAGAUAAUCUAAGGACACCAAAAAGCCAAAGCUUGGGGAUGCCCCGGAAGGCAUCCCCUCUUUCGUCUACUUCCAUCGGUAACUUUACUUGGAGCUAUAUUUUUAUUCACCACAUGAUAAGUGUUUUGCUUGGAGCGUUUUGUAUGAUUUGAGUCUUUGCUUUUUAGUUUACCACAAUCAUCUUUGAUGUACACACCUUUUGAGAGAAACACACAUGAUUCGGAAUUUAUUAGAAUACUCUAUGCGCUUCACUUAUAUCCUUUGAGCUAUAUAGUUUUUGCUCUAGUGCUUCACUUAUAUCUUUUAGAGCACGGCAGUGGAUUUAUUUUAUAGAAACUAUUAUUCUCUCAUGCUUCACUUAUAUUAUUUUGAGAGUCUUAAACAUCAUGGUAAUUUGCUUAAAUUGGGAAAUUAAUCCUAAUAUGCUAGGUAUUCAAGACUAAAAAAAACUUUCUUAUGAGUGUUCUGAAUACUAAGAUAAGUUUGAUGAUUGAUGAUUGUUUUGAGAUAUGGAGGUAGUGAUAUUAAAGUUGUGCUAGUUGAGUAGUUGUGAAAUUGAGAAAUACUUGUGUUGAAGUUUGCAAGUCCCGUAGCAUGCACGUAUGGUAAACGUUAUGUAACAAAUUUGAAACAUGAGGUGUUCUUUGAUUGUCUUCCUUAUGAGUGGCGGUCAGGGAUGAGCGAUGGUGUUUUCCUACCAAUCUAUCCCCCUAAGAGCAUGCGCGUAGUGCUUGGUUUUUGAUGACUUGUAGAUUUUUGCAAUAAGUAUGUGAGUUCUUUAUGACUAAUGUUGAGUCCAUGGAUUAUACGCACUCUUACCCUUCCAUCAUUGCUAGCCUCUUCGGUACCGUGCAUUGCCCUUUCUCACAUUGAGAGUUGGUGCAAACUUCGCCGGUGCAUCCAAACCCCGUGAUAUGAUACACUCUUUCACACAUAAACCUCCUUAUAUCUUCCUCAAAACAACCACCAUAUCUACCUAUUAUGGCAUUUCCAUAGCCAUUCCGAGAUAUAUUGCCGUGCAACUUUCCACCAUUCCGUUUAUCAUGACACGUUCAUCAUCGUCAUAUUGCUUUGCAUAAUCAUGUAGUUGACAUCGUAUUUGUGGCAAAGCCACCGUUCAUAAUUUUUCAUACAUGUCACUCUUGAUUCAUUGCUAUCCCGGUAUACCGCCGGAGGCAUUCAUAUAGAGUCAUACUUUGUUCUAGUAUCGAGUUGUAAUCAUUGAGUUGUAAAUAAAUAGAAGUGUGAUGAUCAUCAUUCGAGUAUUGCCCCCCCCAAAAAAAGAAAGGCCAAAAAAAGGAAGGCCAAAAAAAGAAAAUAAGAAGGGACAAUGCUACUAUCCUUUUUUCCACACUUGUGCUUCAAAGUAGCACCAUGAUUUUCAUGAUAGAGAGUCUCUUGUUUUGUCACUUUCAUAUACCAGUGGGAAUUUUUCAUUAUAGAACUUGGCUUGUAUAUUCCAACAAUGGGCUUCCUCAAAUGCCCUAGGUCUUCGUGAGCAAGCAAGUUGGAUCCACACCCACUUAGUUUCUUUUGUUGAGCUUUCAUGCAUUUAUAGCUCUAGUGCAUCCGUUGCAUGGCAAUCCCUACUCCUUGCAUUAACAUCAAUCGAUGGGCAUCUCCAUAGCCCGUUGAUUAGCCGCGCUGAUGUGAGACUUUCUCCUUUUUUGUCUUCUCCACAUAACCCCCAUCAUUAUAUUCUAUUCCACUCAUAGUUCUAUAUCCAUGGCUCACGCUCAUGUAUUGUGUGAAGGUUGAAAAAGUUUGAGAUUACUAAAGUAUGAAACAAUUGCUUGGAUUGUCAUCGGGGUUGUGCCUGAUGAUAGCAUUCUUGUGUGAAGAGAAUGGAGCAUGACUAAACUAUAUGAUUUUGUAGGGAUGAACUUUCUUUGGCCAUGUUAUUUUGAGAAGACAUAAUUGCUUAGUUAGUAUGCUUGAAGUAUUAUUGCUUUUAUGUCAAUAUUAAACUUUUAUCUUGAAUCUUUCGGAUCUGAAUAUUCAUACCACAAUUAAGAGGGUUACAUUAAAAAAUUAUGCUAAGUAGCAUUCCGCAUCGAAAAUUCUGUUUUUAUCAUUUACCUACUCGAGGACGAGCAGGAAUUAAGCUUGGGGAUGCUUGAUACGUCUCCAACGUAUCUAUAAUUUUUGAUUGCUUCAUGCUAUAUUAUAUUCUAUUUUGGAUGAUUAAUGGGCUUUGUUAUACACUUUUAUAUUAUUUUUGGGACUAACCUAUUAACCGGAGGCCCAGCCCAGAAUUGUUGUUUUUUGCCUAUUUCAGAGUUUCGCAGAAAAAGAAUAUCAAACGGAGUCCAAACGGAAUGAAACCUUCGGGAACGUGAUUUUCGGAACGAACGUGAUCUAGAGGACUUGGACCCUACGUCAAGACAUCAACCAGGAAGGCAUGAGGUAGGGGGGCGCGCCUACCCCCCCGGGCGCACCCUCCACCCUCGUGGGGCCCACGUUGCUCCACCGACGUAUUUCUUCCUCCUAUAUGUACCUACGUACCCCCAAACCAGCAGAAGCAUCCACGAAAACCUAAUUCCACCGCCGCAACCUUCUGUACCCGUGAGAUCCCAUCUUGGGGCCUUUUCCAGCGUCCUGCCGGAGGGGGCAUUGAUCACGGAGGGCUUCUACAUCAACACCAUAGCCUCUCCGAUGAUGUGUGAGUAGUUUACCUCAGACCUUCGGGUCCAUAGUUAUUAGCUAGAUGGCUUCUUCUCUCUUUUUGGAUCUCAAUACAAUGUUCUCCCCCUCUCUUGUGGAGAUCUAUUCGAUGUAAUCAUCUUUUGCGGUGUGUUUGUUGAGACCGAUGAAUUGUGGGUUUAUGAUCAAGUUUAUCUAUGAACAAUAUUUGAAUCUUCUCUGAAUUCUUUUAUGUAUGAUUGCUUAUCUUUGCAAGUCUCUUCGAAUUAUCAUUUUGGUUUGGCCUACUAGAUUGAUCUUUCUUGCAAUGGGAGAAGUGCUUAGCUUUGGGUUCAAUCUUGCGGUGUCCUUUCCUAGUGACAGUAGGGGCAGCAAGGCACAUAUUGUAUUGAUUCCAUCGAGGAUAACAAGAUGGGGUUUAUAUCAUAUUGCAUGAGUUUAUCUCUCUACAUCAUGUCAUCUUACUUAAAGCGUUACUCUGUUCUUUUGAACUUAAUACUCUAGAUGAUGCUGGAUAGCGGUCGAUGUGUGGAGUAAUAGUAGUAGAUGCAGGCAGGAGUCUGUCUACUUGUCGCGGACGUGAUGCCUAUAUACAUGAUCGCACCUAGAUAUUCUCAUAACUAUGCUCAAUUCUAUCAAUUGCUCAACAGUAAUUUGUUUACCCACCGUAAUACUUAUGCUCAUGAGAGAAGCCACUAGUGAAACCUAUGGCCCCCGGGUCUAUUUUCCGUCAUAUUAAUCUCCCGAACACAAGUUAUUUCUUUUGCCGUUUAUUUUGCUUUCUUUACUUUGCAUCUUUAUCAUAAAAAUACCAAAAAUAUUAUCUUAUCAUAUCUAUCAGAUCUCACUUUCGUAAGUGACCGUGAAGGGAUUGACAACCCCUUUAUUGCGUUGGUUGCGAGGAUUUUAUUUGUUUGUGUAGGUGCGAGGGACUCGUGCGUGGCCUCCUACUAGAUUGAUACCUUGGUUCUCAAAAACUGAGGGGAAUACUUACGCUACUUUACUGCAUCAUCCUUUCCUCUUCAAGGGAAAACCAAAGCAGUGCUCAAGAGGUAGCAAUGGUACAGAGUAUAUGUUUUCUUUUAGAACCGUGUUUUAUUUUUUUUAUUUUGCAAAGAACAUGUUCUAGUGGUCAUAUUUUAGAAAAAACAAUUGUGUUUGAACAUCCUCUAGGAUUUACAAGGUACACAUCAUUUUGAUUAUGUGUUUUUUCAAUAUUAUAUUUUUCUAUGUAAAUCCUUCUCUCCGAGAAGACGGCCUUACAAGCACUUCCGACUCAAUUAGCAUCUACAACCGGACGCCCCGUAUCCACCUCAAAUGUCUUGGCGUCCUACCUGGUCAGAAAUUUGUAACCCAACUGGACCUGACAAAUGCAAUCCAAACAUCAGUACUAUCCGACAACCCCCAUACUUAGUCCAUAUGUGUGGUGGAUACGAGAAGGCCCGGACAUGUCUGCCACCUAGUUUGUGUCCCGCUAUAGCCUACCACGACCCCAUAGAUACCCUAUGGUCGGAUGAAACCCUACUCAAUGCAACAUUCGACCGCUUCACUCUCAGUACACCCCCUCCAUUCCCAUCCCUUCCUCCACGUUGUCUUGCUCCGGAAGCCAGCCCGACAACGAAUCCGAUCCCAUCGACUGGGAGGGGCUCUUCUGUUGGGGAACGUAGUAAUUCAAAAAAUUUCCUACGAUCACGCAAGAUCUAUCUAGGAGAAGCAUAGCAACGAGCGGGGAGAGUGUGUCCACGUACCCUCGUAGACCGAAAGUGGAAGCGUUUAGUAACGUGGUUGAUGUAGUCGAACGUCUUCAUGAUCCAACCGAUCCAACUACCGAACGUACGGCACCUCCGUGUUCAGCACACGUUCAGCACGAUGACGUCCCUCGAGCUCUUGAUCCAGUAGAGGGUCGAGGGAGAGUUCCGUCAGCACGACGGUGUGGUGACGAUGAUGAUGACACUACGAUGAUAUGACCGAGGUGUUAAACUGUGGAGGGGGGCACCGCACACGGCUAAGAGAUUGUCUGUUGUACUAUGGGGUGCCCCUUGGCCACAUAUAUAAAGGAGGGGGAGGAGGAGGCCGACGGCCAGGAGGGGCGCGCCAUAGGGGGAGUCGAACUAGGAUUCCCAAUCCUAGUUGGACUCCCCUUCCUUUUUCCAAGAGGGGGAGAGAGGGAAGGAGGAGGAGAGGGAGAAGGAAAGAGGGGGGCGCCGCCCCCUCCCUCGUCCAAUUCGGACUUGCCAUGUGGGGGCGUUGAUACGUCUCCAACGUAUCUAUAAUUUAUGAAGUAUUCAUGCUAUUAUAUUAUCCUUCUAGGAUGUUUUAUAUGCAUUUAUAUGCUAUUUUAUAUGAUUUUUGGGACUAACCUAUUAACCUAGAGCCCAGUGCCAGUUUCUGUUUUUUCCUUGUUUUUGAGUUUUACAGAAAAGGAAUACCAAACGGAGUCCAAUGGACGUGCCAAUUUUUGACAUUUUUUAUGGACCAAAAGAAGACCCCGGAGCAAAAGAGUUGGGCCAGGAGAGUCCCGGGCUGCCCACGAGGGUGGGUGGCGCGCGCACCCCCUGGGCGUGGGCCCCUGCCUCGUGGACAACCCGGAGACCCCCCUGACGUGAGACCAACGCCAAAAAUUCCUAUAAAUACUGAAACCUCCAGAAAAUAACCUAGAUCGGGAGUUCCGCCACCGCAAGCCUCUGUAGCCACCAAAAACCAAUCGGGACCCUGUUCCGGCACCCUGCCGGAGGGGGGAUCCCUCACCGGUGGCUAUCUUCAUCAUCCCGGCGCUCUCCAUGACGAGGAGGGAGUAGUUCACCCUCGGGGCUGAGGGUAUGUACCAGUAGCUAUGUGUUUGAUCUCUCUCUCUCUGUCUCGUGUUCUUGAUUUGGCACGAUCUUACUGUAUCGCGAGCUUUGCUAUUAUAGUUGGAUCUUAUGAUGUUUCUCCCCCUCUACUCUCUUGUAAUGGAUUGAGUUUUCCCUUAGAAGUUAUCUUAUCGGAUUGAGUCUUUAAGGAUUUGAGAACACUUGAUGUAUGUCUUGCAUGUGCUUAUCUGUGGUGACAAUGGGAUAUCACGUGAUCUACUUGAUGUAUGUUUUUGUGAUCAACUUCCGGGUUCCGUGACCUCGUGAACUUAUGCAUAGGGGUUGGCACACGUUUUCGUCUUGACUCUCUGGUAGAAACUUUGGGGCACUCUUUGAAGUUCUUUGUGUUGGUUGAAUAGAUGAAUUUGAGAUUGUGUGAUGCAUAUCGUAUAAUCAUACCCACGGAUACUUGAGGUGACAUUGGAGUAUCUAGGUGACAUUAGGGUUUUGGUUGAUUUGUGUCUUAAGGUGUUAUUCUAGUACGAACUCUAUGAUAGAUUGAAUGGAAAGAAUAGCUUCGUGUUAUUUUACUACGGACUCUUGAAUAGAUCGAUCAGAAAGGAUAACUUUGAGGUGGUUUCGUACCCUACAAUAAUCUCUUCGUUUGUUCCCCACUAUUAGUGACUUUGGAGUGACUCUUUGCUGCAUAUUGAGGGAUAGUUAUAUGAUCCAAUUAUGUUAUUAUUGUUGAGAGAACUUGCACUAGUGAAAGUAUGAACCCUUGGCCUUGUUUCCUAGCAUUGCAAUACCGUUUGUGCUCACUUUUAUCAUUAGUUGCCUUGCUGUUUUUAUAUUUUGAGAUUACAAAAACCUAUAUCUACCAUCCAUAUUGCACUUGUAUCACCAUCUCUUCGCCGAACUAGUGCACCUAUACAAUUUACCAUUGUAUUGGGUGUGUUGGGGACACAAGAGACUCUUUGUUAUUUGGUUGCAGGGUUGUUUGAGAGAGACCAUCUUCAUCCUACACCUCCCACGGAUUGAUAAACCUUAGGUCAUCCACAUGAGGGAAAUUUGCUACUGUCCUACAAACCUCUGCACUUGGAGGCCCAACAACGUCUACAAGAAGAAGGUUGCGUAGUAGACAUCAGGCGGCCACCCCUUGCGGCCCUCCUCUCCUUUCCACUAAGGCCCAUGAAGGCCCAAUACUUCCCUCGGGGGGUUGCGGUAAACCCUCGGUACCCCGAAAAAAAUAUCCGAACCUCUCCGAAACCAUUCCGGUGUCCGAAUACCUUUGUCCAAUAUAUCAAUCUCUACCUCUCGACCAUUUCGAGACUCCUCGUCAUGUCUGUGAUCUCAUCCGGGACUCCGAACAAACUUCGUUCAUCAAAUCACAUAACUCAUAAUACAAAUCGUCAUCGAACGUUAAGCGUGCGGACCCUACGGGUUCGAGAACUAUGUAGACAUGACCGAGACACAUCUCCGGUCAAUAACCAAUAGCGGAACCUGGAUGCUCAUAUUGGCUCCUACAUAUUCUACGAAGAUCUUUAUCGGUCAAACCGCAUAACAACAUACUUUAUUCCCUUUGUCAUCGGUAUGUUACUUGCCCGAGAUUCGAUCGUCGGUAUCAUCAUACCUAGUUCAAUCUCGUUACCGGCAAGUCUCUUUACUCGUUCCAUAAUGUAUCAUUGAAGGAAAUAUUCCCUAGAGGCAAUAAUAAAGUUGUUAUUUAUAUUUACUUAUAUCAUGAUAAAUGUUUAUUAUUCAUGCUAGAAUUGUAUUAACCGGAAACUUAGUACAUGUGUGAAUACAUAGACAAAACAGAGUGUCCCUAGUAUGCCUCUACUUGACUAGCUCGUUAAUCAAAGAUGGUUAUGUUUCUUGACCAUAGACAUGUGUUGUCAUUUGAUAAACGGGAUCACAUCAUUAGAGAAUGAUGUGAUGGACAAGACCCAUCCGUUAGCUUAGCAUUAUGAUCGUUGAAUUUUAUUGCUAUUGCUUUCUUCAUGACUUAUACAUGUUCCUCUAACUAUGAGAUUAUGCAACUCCCGAAUACCGGAGGAACACCUUGUGUGCUAUCAAACGUCACAACGUAACUGGGUGAUUAUAAAGAUGCUCUACAGGUGUCUCCGAAGGUGUUUGUUGGGUUGGCAUAGAUCGAGAUUAGGAUUUGUCACUCCAAGUAUCGGAGAGGUAUCUCUGGCCCUCUCGGUAAUGCUCAUCACUAUAAGCCUUGCAAGCAAUGUGACUAAUGAGUUAGUUGCGGGAUGAAGUAUUACGGAACGAGUAAAGAGACUUGCCGGUAACAAGAUUGAACUAGGUAUGAUGAUACCGACGAUCGAAUCUUGGGCAAGUAACAUACCGAUGACAAAGGGAACAACGUAUGUUGUUAUGCGGUUUGACCGAUAAAGAUCUUCAUAGAAUAUGUAGGAACUAAUAUGAGCAUCCAGGUUCCGCUAUUCGUUAUUGACCAGAGAUGAGUCUCGGUCAUGUCUACAUAGUUCUCGAACCCGUAGGGUCCGCACACUUAAUGUUUGAUGACGAUAUGUAUUAUGAGUUAUGUGAUUUGAUGUACCGAAGGUAGUUCGGAGUCCCGGAUGUGAUCACAGACAUGACGAGGAGUCUCAAAAUGGUCGAGACAUGAAGAUUGAUAUAUUGGAAGGUUAUGUUUGGACACCGAAAAGGUUUCGGAUGAGUUCGGGCAUUUUCCGGAGUACCAGGGCGGUUACCGGAACCCCCCGGGGGGUUAAUGGGCCUUCAUGGGCCAUGGUGGAAGAGAGGAGGAGGCUACCAAGUGGUGGGGCGCCCCCCCAAGCCCAAUCCGAAUUGGGGAAGGGGGCCAGCCCCCCUUUCCUUCUCUCCUUCUUCCCCUUCCUUCCCCCUCCUAGUUGGACUAGGAAAGGGGGGAAACCUACUCCUAGUAGGAGUAGGAAUCCCCCUUGGGGCACGCCCUAGGAGGCCGGCCCUCCCCCUCCUCCACUCCUUUAUAUACGGGGGAGGGGGGCACCCCAUAGAUACACAGGUUGAUUUUAGCCGUGUGCGGUGCCCCCCACCACAGAUUUCCACCUCGGUCAUAUUGUCGUAGUGCUUAGGCGAAGCCCUGCGUCGGUAACUUCAUCAUCACCGUCACCACGCCGUCGUGCUGAGGAAACUCUCCCUCGGCCUCAGCUAGAUCUAGAGUUCGAGGGACGUCACCGAGCUGAACGUGUGCAGAUCGCGGAGGUGCCGUGCGUUCGGACUUGAUCGGUUGGAUCGCGAAGACGUUCGACUACAUCAACCGCGUUAUUUAACGCUUCCGCUUUCGGUGUACGAGGGUACGUGGACACACUCUCCCCGCUCGUUGCUAUGCAUCUCCUAGAUAGAUCUUGCGUGAUCGUAGGAAUUUUUUUGAAAUACUGCGUUCCCCAACAAUCAUCCCAUAACUAACUCAUUAGUCACAUUGCUUGCAAGGCUUAUAGUGAUGUACAUUACCGAGAGGGCCCAGAGAUACCUCUCCGAUACACGGAGUGACAAAUCCUAAUCUUGAUCUAUGCCAACUCAACAAAUACCUUCCGUGACACCUGUAGAGCAUCUUUAUAAUCACCCAGUUACGUUGUGACGUUUGAUAGCACACAAGGUGUUCCUCUGGUAUUCGGGAGUUGCAUAAUCUCAUAGUCAGAGGAACACUUAUAAGUCAUGAAGAAAGCAAUAGCAGUAAAAGUAAACGAUCAUAAUGCUAAGCUAACGGAUGGGUCUUGUCCAUCACAUCAUUCUCUAAUGAUGUGAUCCCGUUCAUCAAAUGACAACAGAUGCCUAUGGGUAGGAAACUUAACCAUCUUUGAUUAACGAGCUAGUCAAGUAGAGGUAUACUAGGGACACUCUGUUUGUCUAUGUAUUCACACAUGUACUAAGUUUCCGGUUAAAACAAUUCUAGCAUGAAUAAUAAACAUUUAUCAUGAUAUAAGGAAAUAUAAAUAACAACUUUAUUAGAGCAACUCCAACGGGCCGACCCAAAUGGGCCAACUGAAAGUGCGUUAUAUCGACUAGAGGGGGGUGAAUAGGCGAUUUUUAUGAAUUCUUCACUGAGGAAUUUGCCGGUGAGGAAAUUCCUUAGCGAAGAACUACUUGCAGCGGAAUAAGUACUCAGAAGUAAACAUAACAGAAUACAAGCAUGGUCAUCAUGAUGAAAUGAAGACAGGCACAGAGUACAGAAAGCGUAAACACAGGAUAAAGAGAAACAGACUGAAGAAAUUGAACUGAGGAAAUUGAGAAAGUCUUCAGUCAAAGUCUUCAAACAUAGAUAUAACAAGCACACAACACAGCAAUGAGGAAAUGAAAGAGUUGAGGAAAUAGAACCAGUUGGCUUGGUGAAGACAAUGAUUUGGUAGACCAGUUCCAACUGUUGUCUCAGUUGUACAUCUGGUUGGAGCGGCUAGGUAUUUAAACCUGAGGACACACAGUCCUCACCGUAUUCUCCUUGAGCUAAGGUCACACAGACAUCGCCCAAUCACUCGUGGUAAAUCUUCAGGUGAAUUCCGAACCUUCACAAACUCGGUCACUCGGCGAUCCACAAUUCCUCUUGGAUGCUCUAGACCAUGACGCCUAACCGUCUGGAAGAAGCACAGUCUUCAAAGGUAACAAGCGUCGGAUCCACGCAUGAUCAAUCUCUUCAGUGAUGCUCAAUCACUUUGGGUUUGUAGGUGUUUGGGUUUUCCUCACUCAAUGAUUUUCGCUCAAAGUCCUCGGAGAAUGGGAUGCUCUCAAAUGACAAGUGUCAGUUUCUCUCGGAGUAGCCAACCAGCUAGUGGUUGUAGGGGGCGGCUAUUUAUAGCCUAGGGAGCAGCCCGGCAUGAUAAGACAUAAAUGCCCUUCAAUGAUAUGACCAUUAGGUGGGUAGAUAUUUUGGGACAGCUGGCACAAGGCACAGCAACGGUCGGAAAUUUGAGUGCCAAAUUCCUCGGGGCUAUCAUGUUCCUCACUGUGUAGGCAAUCCACACUGGCGAAUUCCUAACUCCUCAGUCAGAACAAAAUCCUCAGAGACUAGAAGAACUUCGUCUCUGUCACUAAAGAAUAUGACUGAACUGUAUGAGAUUUCCAAUGGCUUCACUCGAAGGGAUUGGUAGGUGUAGGAUUUUGAGUUGAGCAUCACAUGGAAAUUUUUCCUUAGUAUUUCCUCGACCCCCUUUAACAGUACGGUGUUUCCUAUGACUCAAGAAAAAAGAAAAUGAAACUACGAAAACAAAAGUCUUCACGCUUCAUGUUCCUCGAAUGAAUACCAAGUCUUCAAGGUCACACCAAUUUCUUCACUUUCAGAGUCUUCAGAAAGUCUUCAGAAAUACAAAGUCUUCAGUCGAAGAACUUCAAUUUUAGGGGUCGACUUUCUCUGUAAAUAUCAAACUCCUCAUAGACUUAUAGACCUGUGUACACUCACAAACGCAUUAGUCCCUUAACCUAUAAGUCUUCAAUACACCAAAAUCACUAAGGGGCAGUAGAUGCACUUACAAUCUCCCCCUUUUUGGUGAUUGAUGACAAUAUAGGUUAAGUUUCCAACGGGGAUAAACAUAUGAAGUGUAAAUACUGAUAUUGAGGAAUUUGAUUGCAAGAUAUAGAAGAACUCCCCCUGAAGAUGUGCAUAGUGAGGAAUUUGCUUUUGAAGCAAUGCACACUUGAAGAGUAGAAUCAUGGAGAUCUCCCCCUAUAUCUUGUAAUUUAUACCCGCAUUUGACAUAGUAUAUGAACAAUUUGAAAUGCAUGAUGAAAUAUGGUGACUGAUGUAAUUCAGCAUGCGUGCAUUAACAUUAAUGAGGAAUAAGCAUGCAGAAAAGCACAGCAAAAGUAUCAGGUCACCAUAGAGUUUAAGUUUACAAGUCGAUCCAGCAAAGUCUUCAAAAGAACGAGAGUUGCAACUUAGAAAAAAGCCCAUAUAUGACAGACCUGCUCUAAGACUAACUCAAUUUUCUCCCCCUUUUUCAUCGAAUGACCAAAAGGAUCAAAAAUGAGGACUAACGCCCCUGAAGAAUAUCAAGUUGAUGAAGGAGCGCCAGCGUUGUUGGGGUCGUUUGUCGUAGUAGGGCCUGCCGUAGUGUCGUCCAAGUCUUCAUGCUCGUCGGUGUCGUGCGAUGAAGAAUAGGAGCUGGCCACCAAGGAAGGAACCUUGACCUUCUUGUAUUUCUUCGGUGGAGGUGCAGACCAGUCAAAUUCCUCCUUGAGACCCAUGUUCUUCAGUUAUUCUUCACCAUAUACAUGUGACAAAAUAGGCCAGGUGCGAUCGAAGACUUCAUGGAAGUAGUAAUGGUUUUUCUUCACUGCAUUAUGUGUAGCAGUCAUGUUGUGAAGAAUUGAACCAAACUGACGCUUAACCCAUUUAUGGUUUCGAUCCACCUUCUGGUGAAGACUUAGCAGAAGUUCACGGUCAGUCAUCACACGAGGAGCAGUAGCUUGAGGAUUUGGCUUGGAGGCAUGGGCAGCAGAAUCAUGAGUGGCAGAGUCAUCAUUGGUGGAAUAAGAUGCAGCCUUGCGAAAUUGACCAUCCAAUGGACGAAUGCCUUCAUCUAUAACAGCUGGUGCCUUGCCCUUUUCGUCAGCUGAGGAAUAGGUCCGCUUGAGGACUUCAAUCAGGGGCAAGUAGCUGAGGUGAUUCUGAAAAUCAGCUUUGUAGUUGAGUGAAGACCUUGUCCUGAGGAAUCUCAUGAUCCAGGGUGCAUAAGGCUUCAGCUCAAACGGUGAAAGUGCAACAUUUGCCAGAGUCCUCAUGAAGAAAUCGUGAUAAUUGACAGGAAUGCCAUGAAUGAUGUUGAAAACCAGAUUCUUCAUGAUGCCGACAAUUUCCUCAUUAGAUGAGUCGUGGACUUUGAUUGGACUCAUAGUCUUCGUCAGAAUGCGAUAGACUGUCCAUGGUACGUACUGCAAUUCCUUCACGAGGAAUUUUGUCCUUGAGGCUUGACCAGGUUUCAAUGGCAUCAUCAGCACUUGCAUAUAGUGAUCUGUAAGCUCAGGCUCUUGGUACAUGCAACGAGCUCCUUCAAGUGGAGGACUGAUGGGCAGGGCGUGAAGUAAUUCAUUGGCCGGUGCCUUAUAGUGAGUAUUUUCGGUCAUCCAGUCCAAAACCCAGGAGUUCACAUCGUCAGCAUCUCCUGUGAUGUGCAAAGUUGCGUAGAAUUGAAGAAUGAGUUGUUCAUUCCAAUCAACUAUGUCUGUGCAAAAGUUGAGGAGGCAUGUGUCAUGAAGCACACUGAGGAUAGGAGUGAAGCAUGGCAGUGAUUCCAUGUCCACAUGAGGAUUAUGCUCGUGGUCGAAGACUUUGUCCUUGUUGAAGAGCAGUGAAGAAUAGAAGUUGGCCUGGCUGGCGGUCCAGAAGCGCUUCCUUCUAAGACGAUCAGAAUCGUAGGGAUUGUAGUCAGUGAAGAACACGUGCUCGCCGAAGAAAUCAUCAGCCUUGAAUUUCUGCUUCUUUGAGAAUGGAUCCUUUGGCUUGGGCUGAGGAGUGUCAGUCAAUUGCAUUAUCACCUCAGGAAUCGCAAUCUCAGGUUCUUCAUGCUGAGGAAUUUCAGCUUCUACUCCAGUGACAGCCUGGGUCUUCAAUUCUUCAUUUUCAUUUUCUUCAGCACUAGUGGCUGGAAUUUCUUCAUGGACAGACGGUGUGGCAUGUGGUUCAUCAGAUCCCAUUUGAACUGUAGUUGCUGGGGACUGAGGAAUUUGUUGCAAUGGUGUGAAGAGUGGAGAGUUGGGGUGCUGACUUUCCCAAAAGUCAUCAUUCAGCACAGGUGUGGUACAGCCAAUGUCCACAUCUUCAUCUUCCAUUUCUUCAACGCCGGCCUCUUCAGCAGUAAACUGAGGCAUAGGCGAGGAAACAGCUGGAGUGGAAGGGAUUUCAUCCACUUCAAUUUCUUCAUCCAUCUGCUCUGACGUAGCAGCAGAAGGACUUUCUUCAUCAGAUCAACUAGGGAUCAUGUAUUCUUCAUCAAAAGGGACGAUUUCCUUUGAUGGCAUGGUAGUGAGAGGAACGACAUCAAUUGAGUUUCAAAUGAGCUGGUCAUUGACUUCAUCUUCUUCAGAGCUGAAGAAUCUGAAGAAGAUGAUGUCUUCCUUUUCUUCACUGCUGCACGUUCUGCAGCCUUGGUCUUCUUUGCAUCUGAUGCAGAUGGAAGAAUUGGAGUUGGGGUAGGCGCAGGAGGAGCAGAGGAAUGUGGUUGAUUUUCUUCAGGCACAACUGAUGCAGUUGCCCUGACCUCUUCAUUUUCUUCAGGCGCACCACUAGUGGAUGCCCUGGCAAUUUCAUCAGCGGCUGGAAUGCAGUCAUCAGCCCUGGAACACACAUUUUCUUCAGCAGCCUGAGUGUCAUCAGCGGUGCUGGCAUGUUCUUCAGUUGGCUGAGCGGAUGCUUCAGCCUGAGGAAUUUCUUGUUGCGAUGGGGCUGUAACAUUGGAGGUGAAUUUUUCAGUCAGUUUCACAAACCUGACCUUGGCUCCUUGCCAAUCAGCAUAGUAAGCGUUGAAAUCAUCGCUGAGGACUUUGAUUUCAGAAUGGAUCUUCACAAGUUCAUCAGUUGUCAUAGCGACAACGUUGUUCUUCAGGAAUUUUUCUUUCCUGUACUGCGCUUUCUUGAUCUGCCUGGCUUCUCAAAUUUCCAUUUCUCUUCUUGGAUGAAGGCAGUCAGCAUAUGACUUUGGCCAGGAGUCAACUUGAAAUCAGGCAUAGGAGUGUUUAGGUCCUUGUGCCAGAGAUCAAUGUAGUCGAGGACCAACUUUGGAUCCAAAAGCAGAGGCACAUUUGUGCCCUUGGCUCUAGCGGCCCUGACUUGCCUAUCUCUUAUGAUUUCAGCAAGUUCUUCAUCAUCAGCUUCGUCUUCAUCAGACGGCACUCGAAAGGCGACCUGCUUCUUGUGAGGACUUGGGCGAGAACCUCGUCCAGCAGUGGUCUUUUGAAAGUGCGUUAUAUCGACUAGAGGGGGGUGAAUAGGCGAUUUUUAUGAAUUCUUCACUGAGGAAUUUGCUGGUGAGGAAAUUCCUUAGCGAAGAACUAUUUGCAGCGGAAUAAGUACUCAGAAGUAAACAUAACAGAAUACAAGCAUGGUCAUCAUGAUGAAAUGAAGACAGGCACAGAGUACAGAAAGCGUAAACACAGGAUAAGACAGGAUGAAGACAAACAGACUGAAGAACUUGAACUGGGGAAUUGAGAAAGUCUUCAGUCAAAGUCUUCAAACACAGAUAUGACAAGCACACAACACAGUAAUGAGGAAAUGAAAGAGUUGAGGAAAUAGAACCAGUUGGCUUCGUGAAGACAAUGAUUUGGUAGACCACUUCCAACUUCUGUCUCAGUUGUACAUCUGGUUGGAGCGGCUAGGUAUUUAAACCUGAGGACACACAGUCCCGGACACACAGUCCUCACCGUAUUCUCCUUGAGCUAAGGUCACACAGACCUCGCCCAAUCGCUCGUGGUAAGUCUUCAGGUGACUUCCGAACCUUCACAAACUCGGUCACUCGGCGAUCCACAAUUCCUCUUGGAUGCUCUAGACCAUGACGCCUAACCGUCUGGAAGAAGCACAGUCUUCAAAGGUAACAAGCGUCGGAUCCACGCAGGAUCAAUCUCUUCAGUGAUGCUCAAUCACUUUGGGUUUGUAGGUGUUUGGGUUUGGGUUUUCCUCACUCGAUGAUUUUCGCUCAAAGUCCUCGGAGGAUGGGAUGCUCUCAAAUGACAAGUGUCAGUUUCUCUUGGAGCAGCCAACCAGCUAGUGGUUGUAGGGGGCGGCUAUUUAUAGCCUAGGGAGCAGCCCGACAUGAUAAGACAUAAAUGCCCUUCAAUGAUAUGACCGUUAGGUGGGUUGAUAUUUUGGGACAGCUGGCGCAUAGCACAGCAACGGUCGGAUAUUUGAGGCUCAAAUUCCUCAGGGCUACCAUGUUCCUCACUGUGUAGGCAAUCUGCACUGGCGAAUUCCUAACUCCUCAGUCAGAACAAAUUCCUCAAAGACCAGAAGAACUUCAUCUCUGUCACUGAAGAAUAUGACUGAACUGUAUGAGAUUUCUAAUGGCUUCACUCGAAGGGAUUGGUAGGUAUAGGAUUUUGAGUUGAGCAUCACAUGGAAAUUUUUCUUAGUAUUUCCUCGACCCCCUUUAACAGUAUGGUGUUUCCUUUAGACUUAUAGACCUGUGUACACCCAAUUUCUUCAAUUUCAAAGUCUUCAGAAAUCCAAAGUCUUCAGUCGAAGAACUUCAUUUUUAGGGGUCGACUUUCUCUGUAAAUAUCAAACUCCUCAUAGACUUAUAGACCUGUGUACACUCACAAACGCAUUAGUCCCUUAACCUAUAAGUCUUCAAUACACCAAAAUCACUAAGGGGAACUAGAUGCACUUACAAUCUCCCCCUUUUUGGUGAUUGAUGACAAUAUAGGUUAAGUUUUUCAACAGGGAUAAACAUAUGAAGUGUAAAUACUGAUAUUGAGGAAUUUGAUUGCAAGAUAUAAAAGAACUCCCCCUAAAGAUGUGCAUAGUGAGGAAUUUGCUUUUGAAGCAAUGCACACUUGAAGAGUAGAAUCAUGGAGAUCUCCCCCUAUAUCUUGUAAUUUAUACACACAUUUGACAUAGUAUAUGAAGAAUUUGAAAUGCAUGAUGAAAUAUGGUGACUGAUGUAAUUCGGCAUGCGUGCAUUAACAUUAAUGAGGAAUAAGCAUGCAGAAAAGCACAGCAAAAGUAUCAGGUCACCAUAGAGUUUAAGUUUACAAGUCGAUCCAGCAAAGUCUUCAAAAGAACGAGAGUUGCAACUUUGAAAAAAACGCCCAUAUAUGAGAGACCCAUUUGAAGACUAACUCAAUUUUCUCCCCCUUUGUCAUCGAAUGACCAAAAGGAUCGAAAAUGAGGACUAACGCCCCUGAAGAAUAUCAAGUUGAUGGAGGAGCGCCAGCGUUGUUGGGGUCGUUUGUCGUAGUAGGGUCUGCCGCAAUGUCGUCCAAGUCUUCAUGCUCGUCGGUGUCGCGCGAUGAAGAAUAGGAGCUGGCCACCAAGGAAGGAACCUUGACCUUCUUGUAUUUCUUCGGUGGAGGUGCAGACCAGUCAAAGUCCUCCUUGAGACCCAUGUUCUUCAGUUCUUCUUCACCAUAUACAUGUGACAGAAUAGCCCAGGUGCGAUUGAAGACUUCAUGGAGGUAGUAAUGGCUUUCUUCACUGCAUUAUGUGUAGUAGUCAUGUUGUGAAGAAUUGAACCAAACUGACGCUUAACCCAUUUAUGGUUUUGAUCCACCUUCUGGUGAAGACUUAGCAGAAGUUCACGGUCAGUCAUCACACGAGGAGCAGUAGCUUGAGGAUUUGGCUUGGAGGCAUGGGCAGCAGAAUCAUGAGUGGCAGAAUCAUCAUUGGUGGAAUAAGAUGCAGCCUUGCGAAAUUGACCAUCCAAUGGACGAAUGCCUUCAUCUAUAACAGCUGGUGCCUUGCCCUUUUCGCCAGCUGAGGAAUAGGUCCGCUUGAGGACUUCAAUUGGGGGCAAGUAGCUGAGGUGAUUCUGAAAAUCAGCCUUGUAGUUGAGUGAAUACCUUGUCCUGAGGAAUCUCAUAAUCCAAGGUGCAUAAGGCUUCAGCUCAAACGGAGAAAGUGCAACAUUUUCCAGAGUCCUCAUGAAGAAAUCGUGAUAAUUGACAGGAAUGCCAUGAAUGAUGUUGAAUACCAGAUUCUUCAUGAUGCCAACAAUUUCCUCAUCAGAUGAGUCGUGGCCUUUGAUUGGACUCAUAGUCUUCGUCAGAAUGCGAUAGACUGUCCUUGGUACAUACUGCAAUUCCUUCACAAGGAAUUUUGUCCUUGAGGCUUGACUAGGUUUUAAUGGCUUCAUCAGCACUUGCAUAUAGUGAUCAGUAAGCUCAGGCUCUUGGUACAUGCAACGAGCUCCUUCAGCUGGAGGACUGAUAGGCAGGGCGUGAAGUAAUUCAGAGGCCGGUGCUUUGUAGUGAGUGUUUUCGGUCAUCCAGUCCAAAACCCAGGAAUUUACAUCGUCCGCAUCUCCUGUGAUGUGUAGUGUUGCGUAGAAUUGGAGAAUGAGUUCUUCAUUCCAAUCAACUAUGUCUGUGCAAAAGUUGAGGAGGCCUGUGUCAUGAAGCACACUGAGGAUAGUGUGAAGCAUGGCAGUGAUUCCAUGUCCACAUGAGGAAUAUGCUCGUGGUCGAAGACUUUGUCCUUGUUGAAGAGCAGUGAAGAAUAUAAGUUGGCCUGGCUGGCGGUCCAGAAGCGCUUCCUUCUAAGACGAGCAGAAUCGUAGGGAUUGUAGUCAGUGAAGAACACGUGCUCGCCAAAGAAAUCAUCAGCCUUGAAUUUCUGCUUCUUUGAGAAUGGAUCCUUUGGCUUGGGCUGAGGAGUGCCAGUCAAUUGCAUUAUCACCUCAGGAAUCGCAAUCUCAGGUUCUUCAUGCUGAAGAAUUUCAGCUUCCUCCAGUGACAGCCUGGGUCUUCAAUUCUUCAUUUUCAUUUUCUUCAGCACUAGUGGCUGGAAUUUCUUCAUGGACAGACGGUGUGGCAUGUGGUUCAUCAGAUCCCAUUUGAACUGUAGUUGCUGGGGACUGAGGAAUUUGUUGCAAUGGUGUGAAGAGUGGAGAGUUGGGGUGCUGACUUUCCCAAAAGUCAUCAUUCAGCACAGGUGUGGUACAGCCAAUGUCCACAUCUUCAUCUUCCAUUUCUUCAACGCCGGCCUCUUCAGCAGUAAACUGAGGCAUAGGCGAGGAAACAACUGGAGUUGAAGGGAUUUCAUCCACUUCAAUUUCUUCAUCCAUCUGCUCUGACGUAGCAGCAGAAGGACUUUCUUCAUCCGAUCCGCUAGGGAUCACGUAUUCUUCAUCGAAAGGGAUGAUUUCCUUUGAUGGCAUGGUAGUGAGAGGAACGACAUCAAUUGGGUUUGCAAAUGAGCUGGUCAUUGACUUCAUCUUCUUCGGAGCUGAAGAAUCUGAAGAAGCUGAUGCCUUCCUUUUCUUCACUGCUGCACACUCUGCAGCCUUGGUCUUCUUUGCAUCUAAAGCAGAUAGAAGAAUUGGAGUUGGGGUAGGCGCAGGAGGAGCAGAGGAAUGUGGUUGAUUUUCUUCAGGCACAACUGAUGCAGUUGCCCUGACCUCUUCAAUUUCUUCAGGCGCACCACUAGUGGAUGCCCUGGCAAUUUCAUCAGCGGCUGGAAUGCAGUCAUCAACCCUGGAACUCACAUUUUCUUCAGCAGCCUGAGUGUCAUCAGCGGUGCUGGCAUGUUCUUCAGUUGGCUGAGCAGAUGCUUCAACCUGAGGAAUUUCUUGUUGCGAUGGGGCUGCAACAUUGGAGGUGAACUUUCCAGUCAGUUUCACAAACCUGACCUUGGCUCCUUGCCAAUCAGCAUAGUAAGCAUUGAAAUCAUCGCUGAGGACUUUGAUUUUAGACUGGAUCUUCACAAGUUCAUCAGUUGUCAUAGUGACAACGUUGUUCUUCAGGAAUUUUUCUUUCCUGUACUGCGCUUUCUUGAUUUGCCUGGCCUUCUCAGAUUUCCAUUUCUCUUCUUGGAUGAAGGCAGUCAGCAUAUGACUUUGGCCAGGAGUCAACUUGAAAUCAGGCAUAGGAGUGUUUGGGUCCUUGUGCCAUAGAUCAAUGUAGUCGAGGAUCAACUUUGGAUCCAAAAGCAGAGGCACAUUUGUGCCCUUGGCUCUAGCGGCCCUGACUUGCCUAUCUCUGAUGAUUUCAACAAGUUCUUCAUCAUCAGCUUCGUCUUCAUCAGACGGCACUUGAAAGGCGACCUGCUUCUUGUGAGGACUUGGGCGAGAACCUCGUCCAGCAGUGGUCUUUGUCUUGAGCAGAGAGGGUACUGUUGAAGAAUUUGGUGCAGCUAAGGAACUAGCAGAAGCUCCUGAGGCAAUAGAGAUGCCUGUAGUCCUUUGGCACGUGGCAAGAUGCACAGAUGCUGAGGACUUGGUUGGAGCAGCUGAGGACUUUGGAGGAGGAGGAGUAGCAUGAGGAAUUGGCCGUGAGGGCUUUGAGGAUUCUGGCCGUGAGGGCAUAGCUGAGGAACUUGGCCUUGAGGGCAUUGAUGGUGAAGCACUUGACUUGUGUGCAGGCUUCUUUGCCAUGGAUUUCUUCGGCUUGACAGAGGCCUCAGCGGCAACAGCAGCAGAGUCUUCAUUGAAUUUCCUCACUGCUUCUCUGGCUUGUCUAGCCAACUUGGCCUGGCGCUUGGCCCAUUCGUCAGGAUAGUCCUCACCGCGCUUGAGGCUGGUGGGAUCAGCUAUUUGGCCAGGUGCCAAUGGAGGUCUUGGGCAUGGAGGAUUGAGUGCGAAUUUCUUCAUGUAUUUGGGAGUAACAUAUAUGUACUCCCUCCACUCCCUUGCCCAUCUCCUCUCUAUCCUCUAUAUGCGCACCUUGCGUUGAUUCUUAUCCUCCUUACCAAACAUGGCCUCAUCAGGAGUGCAAUAGUCUUUGUAUAUGUCAUCAGGAAUCUCAAAGGCAGUAUUGAUUUCAGGCCUCUUUCCUCCCUUCUGAGGCUUCUUACCGUCAGCCAUUUUCUUCAGUUGAGGAAUUUGAACAAUUGAAUUCUCUAAAGAAGUAUGCAACUUUUCUUCGAGGAAUGCUGCAAAUGAGUUAAGUUGAUGAGAACCUAGUGAUUCAGCAGCGGACAUGAGUACCUGUGAACAGAGUAUAGUUGCGAGGAAUUUGGAGAGGUCAUAUGCGUUCUCAGAAGAUUUUGUAAAAAGAACAAGUUUGAGGAAUUUGACCAGAUGAGUCUUGAAGAAUUUCACUAAGCGUUCUUUGUCUUAGGUUCCAGAGUUGUAUAGAUCGAAGAUCCACACAAUUGAGGAAUCUUGAAGAAAAAUUAUUGCUUAGAGAAACGAAUCAAGAACAGAUGAUAUGAGAGGUGUUUAGUGUGUGUGAAGAAUUUGAAGAGUAAACACCUUUGAAGAUUUUGUAGAAAUCAUUUGAAUCAAAGAGGGCGGUAAAAGUAACUUUUAAUUACCCUGAACGAAGAACACGACGAACUGGGAGGUGGAGAUGUGAAGUUCGUCAGUCCAGAUCUUCCACGCCCUAACUCGGCGGAGGAAGACGGCUAUGGCAGCAACGGAGUGAAGAUUUCCGCGGCUGGCGCGAGUACGACGGUGACGAGGUCGAGGCAGUGAAGCUCUUUCUCACCGGCGACGAUGAAGUAGCGGCGGCGCUAGGGUUUGAGAAGCUCGAGCUGGAGAGAGGUCGAGCGGGGUAAAGGAAGUGAGGAAGGAAAGGGGGGUAUUUAUAGCCACGGUGAAAAACUGUUCGCCCGAAGAUUUUGGACGAACGUGCCCCUGACCCUUCUCAUUCGCUUGACAUGUGUCACCCACGUACUAAGAAGUGGAGAUCGUGUGAGAUCGUGGGUGAAUAGAUAAGUAUUUCGUGGGAUGCGGAACGGUUUGAGCGGCAAAACUGAAAAUUUGGAUAAGAUAAGUUUUAACGUUCCGUUCGCAAAUUCUUCAGCUGACAAGGACACAGUGAAGAUUUUGAACGAGUUUCAAAUAGAACGCACAUGAAGAAUUUGUGAAUAGAAUGGGUUGAGUUUAGCAUGGAGGGGGUAGGGUCCGAUCACAUUCACUUAGCAGAAAAAGCAAUUUGAAUAAUUAGCCAUAAGUGAAUGCUAUAGAGGACAUAAACUCAUAUAUAUAUAUAUAUAUAUAUAUAUAUAUAUAGCUAGUAAAAAAACGACGGAAAUAGUGAAGAUAAUGCAAAGUUGAAGAAAAUGAACAACUGAUGAAUUCCAAAACUGAGGAAAAACUCAAAUUGAAGAUUUUCAACUUUUGGUGGUGGCGUGACCCACCAUAUAAGAAUGAUGAUUUUAGACACUGCGUACAAUUGUCGUAGGGUUCUGAGAAUCAAAUUCUUCGUUAAUUUCUUCACACUUAGAGUGUUAGUCUUCAUUGAUUGAAGAAAAACGUUUCUUCAUGUGUUGCACAUCUAAGUCAUCAAUUUUGCAUAAGUGUUAGGAUGAGUGUCCUUUUCAAAGAACAUUCGAAGAUUCUAAGAUAUUUAGCUCACACCGCAACUUGCUAAAUCUCUUCUCAUCCAAGGGCUUUGUGAAGAUAUCGGCUAGCUGUUCUUCAGUCUUCACAUGCUCAAUAGAAAUGUCGCCCUCCAACACAUGAUCACGAAGAAAAUGAUGACAAAUCUGAAUGUGCUUUGUCUUCGAGUGCUGAACUGGGUUGUGAGCAAUCUUGAUGGCACUCUCAUUGUCACAGAAGAGAGGCACAUUCUUCACGUUGACGCUGUAGUCCUUGAGAGUUUGCUUCAUCCACAGCAAUUGAGCACAGCAAGAACCAGCAGCAAUGUACUCAGCUUCAGCAGUAGACAGUGAUACGCAGUUCUGUUUCUUCGAGGCCCAACAGACCAAAGAUCGUCCGAGGAAAUGACAUGUACCAGAUGUUGACUUGCGGUCCACACGAUCACCAGCAUAGUCAGAGUCAGAAUAUCCAAUGAGAUCAAAAGCCGAGCCCUUGGGGUACCAUAAUCCAAGUGUUGGUGUGUGAGCUAGAUAUCGAAAAAUAUGCUUCACAGCCUUAUGGUGUGAUUCCUUCGGUGUAGCUUGAAAUCGGGCACACAUGCAAACACUAAGCAUUAUAUCUGGCCUAGAUGCACAUAAGUACAAUAAAGAACCAAUCAUGGAGCGGCAUACCUUAUGAUCGAAGUCAAUACCAUUUUCAUCAGUGCACAGAUGGCCAUUUGUGGGCAUAGGAAUUUUGACGGCUUUGCAAUCUUGCAUGCCGAAUUUCCUCAGUACAUCCUUGAGGUAUUUCUCCUGAGAUAUGAAUAUGCCACUGCGUUGUUGACGAAUUUGAAGCCCUAAGAAGAAUUUCAACUCUCCCAUCAUAGACAUUUGAUAUUCUUCACUCAUCAUAUAGACAAAUUCAUCACUAUAACGUUGGUCAGUACAACCAAAGAUAAUAUCAUCAACAUAUAUUUGGCACCAGUUCACCAUCAUAAGAUUUAGUGAAAAGUGUAGGGUCGAGUGAACCGGGUUUGAAGCCUUUCUUCAUGAGGAAUUCCUUCAAAGUAUCAUACCACGCCCGUGGGGCCUGCUUGAGGCCAUAGAGGGCCUUGUUGAGUCUGAAGACUUUGUCAGGAUGCUUAGGAUCUUCAAAACCUGGGGGUUGAGCAACAUAUACUUCUUCCUCAAGCUUACCAUUGAGGAAUGCACUUUUCACAUCCAUUUGAUAUAAAGUGAUAUCAUGAUGGUUAGCAUAAGCAAGUAAUAUGCGAAUAGCCUCAAGUUUAGCAACAGGUGCAAAAGUUUCAUCGAAAUCAAUUCCUUCAACCUGUGUGUAGCCUUGAGCUACAAGCCGUGCCUUAUUCCUCACCACAAGGCCAUUUUCAUCUUGCUUGUUGUGGUAGAUCCACUUUGUGCCAAUGAUAUUGUGCUUGCGAGGAUCUGGACGUUUAACCAGUUCCUAGACGUUGUUGAGCUCGAAUUGAUGUAAUUCUUCUUGCAUGGCCUGAAUCCACUCAGGCUCCAGAAAUGCUUCAUCUACCUUUGUGGGCUCUGUGAUAGAGACAAAAGCAUAGUGCCCACAAAAGUUAGAUAAAUGUGAAGCUUUUGAGCGUGUGAGAGGACCUGGUGCUUCAAUGUCAUCGAUGAUCUUUUCAACUUGCACUUCUUUUGCAACGCGAGGAUGAGCUCGUUGUCGUCGAGGAAUUUGAUCAGCACUUUCUUCAGCACCAUUCUCUUCAGUAUUUUCUUCAGGUGCAUUAGCUCGACGUUCUUCACGUUCUGGAAUGAAUUCUUCAGCACAUUCUUCAGUAGGAAUGACAUCCUCAGUAGCCUUGAACUUGAUAGUUUCCUCAGGUGCUAGUUCAUCUAUCACAGAAGGUAGGUGCUCUCUUUGCGAGCCAUUAGUUUCAUCGAACCGCACAUCUACAGUUUCAACAACCUUGUGAAGAACGUUGUUGAAGAGUCUGUAGGUGUGCGAAUCCUUUCCGUAACCAAGCAUGAAACCUUCAUGUGCUUUCGGUGCAAAUUUAGCAUUGUGAUGAGGAUCUCUAAUCCAACAUUUAGUACCGAAGACUUUGAAAUAACUCACAUUGGGUUUCUUGUCAGUGAGGAGUUCAUAGGCAGUCUUCUUGAAGAAUUUGUGAAGAUAUACCCUAUUGAUGAUGUGGCACGCAGUAUAAAUUGCCUCAAUCCAGAAGUGACGAGGCGUCUUGUACUCAUCAAGCAUAGUGCGAGCCAUCUCAACAAGAGUUCUGUUCUUGCGUUCCACGACGCCAUUCUGCCGAGGAGUAUAAGGAGCAGAUAACUCAUGAGUAAUACCAAGUUCAUUAAGAUAGUCAUCAAGACCAGAAUUCUUGAACUCGGUUCCAUUGUCACUUCUGAUGUGCUUGAUCUUCACACCAAAGUUGGUUGAAGCCCUUGAGGAAAAUCGUUUGAAGACUUCCUGCACUUCAUGUUUGUAAGUAACAAUGUGUACCCAUGUGUAUCGAGAGUAAUCAUCAACAAUAACAAAGCCAUAGAGAGAUGCGUCAUUUGUGACUGCUGAGUAAUGAUUAGGACCAAAUAGAUCCAUGUGAAGCAAUUCAAAUGGGCGAGUGGUAGUCAUGAUAGUCUUCGCUGGAUGCUUAGCCUUUGUCAUCUUCCCAGCUUCACAGGCUCCACAUAAGUGAUCCUUGAGGAAUUUGACAUUCUCAAUGCCAAUGACAUGCUUCUUCUUCGCAAGCGUGUGCAAAUUCCUCAUGCCUGCAUGACCAAGUCGUCGAUGCCAUAGCCAGCCUUCUGAAGCUUUUGCAAGUAGGCACACGGCUGGUUGCGGUCCUGUAGAGAAAUCAACAAUAUACAAGUCUCCUCUCCUAAAGCCUUCGAAGACUUUGGAAUUGUCAACUUCCAUAACCACAACACAACGAUACUUGCCAAAGACAACAACCAUAUCAAGAUCGCAAAGCAUUGGGACAGACAUGAGGUUGUAUCCUAAGGACUUGUGAAGCAUGACUUUGUCCAUGUGUCGAUCCUUUGUGAUCGCAACCUUACCUAGAACCAAUACCUGACUUUUGCCUUUGUCAGCGAAGAUGAUAUGCUUCAGAUGAGAUGGAGAUAAGGGAGCAUCCAUCAAUAGAUUCUUGUCACCAGUCAUGUGAUUUGUACAUCCACUAUCGAGGACCCACUCAGUGGCUUUGGGUUGAUCAUCCUGCGGAUGAAUUAGUGCAGCUUACGAACUCAUAUACUUCAUCAGUGAAGAAUAUGACAUCAAUUCAUCAGAUCAAUUUCAUCAAGUAAUAGAACAGAUAAAGCACUAUGAGGACGUGAGAAAUGAAAGUUCAUUUCUUCAUGAUUAGCCUACGGCCUUUCAGGCACUUUUCAGGUCUCCAGCAAAUUCUUCAGACGUUCACGCACGUCUGGAGACCUGACCCUGCAGAAGAGAUUAGUUCUUUUUCUUCACCACCCACAUCUGAAGGGGUGGCAAAGAGUUCAUCACUCUGCGAGCUCCAUACGAGAAAGGUGGCAUAGAAGCCAAUCGAUUCCGUUUCACAUAAGAGGAGUUAGGGUAAGCAUAUGAAUAAGCAGAGAAAUUCUUCGAGGACUUAUGAACAUGAUGAUUAGAAGAAGAAUACUCAUAUUCAUAGCCCUUAGCUCUUCCCUGCGAGACAGAGUUGUUAGCACGAUGAUAAUCAUAUGAGGACUUUGAUCCUUUUGAGGAAUAUGAUCCACGUGAAGAAUUCGGUCCGUAUGAGGACUUGGAUCCAUAUGAAGAAUUUGGUCCAUAUGAAGAAUUUGAUCUGGGGUUCCUAUUCUUCACAGGUGGUGUCAUGAGGACAUUCACCUGAAGACUUUCAAGGCACCUUUUGGGAACCCAGAUUUUCUUCAUAGGGGAACUGUUCCUGCAGUUAGUGCCAACAUAUCUAGCAAAUACUUCUCCAUUCUGAUUUUUGAACAGUUUAUAGUUGGAGUCAAAUGACUCAUCAGAAGAAUGAGGAGAUUCACAUGUAAAGCUAGAUAGAUUAGAUGGAUCAACUGGAGGUCCCUUUGCAGCAACCCAUGAGGUUUUGGGGUACUGCUCAGGCUUCCAAUAUGUACCAUAAGCAUUCAGUUUCCUCUCAAAGGCAAUACCCUCUUUCGUAGGGUUCCUGUUGAGGAUCUGCUUUUUAAGCACAUCACAAAGAGUCUGAUGCCCUUUGAGGCUUUUGUACAUGCCUGUCAUGUACAAUUCCUUCAGCCAUGCAUUGUUAGUGAUACUAGCAAUGUCCUCAGAUGAGGAAUUAGUGAUAGCAGAGGCAGGUGAGGAAUUUGUAACAUUAGAAGCAUUUGAAUAUUCAGGUGAAGAAUUAGCAGAUUCACGUUCAAUGCAUUUCAAACAUGGAGGAACAAAUUCUUCCUGAGCAGCGCUGAUUUGUUGAGCAAAUAAUGAAUCGUGCUCCUUCUGAAGAUCUUCAUAACUUACUCUUAGCUUCUCAAGGUCUUGCUUUCUUUGAAGAAAUUCAUAAGAAAGCUUCUCAUGAUCAGACAAGAGAGUGUUAUGAUGACCUUGAAGAUUGUCAAACCUAGUCUGAAGUCUCUGAAGAUUUUCAGUCAAGGUUUUAGUGCGAUCCAUUUCUUCACCCAACAUAUCAUCACUUUUGUCUAGCAUGUUUUGAACCUUUUCAAAAGCCCUUUGUUGUUUCACAGCAAUCUUAGCAAGUUUAGAGUAGCUGGGCUUCAGGUUUUCAUUAGAUUCAUUCUCACUAGAUUCAGAGGAGGUAUAUUUGAGUACCUUGGCACCCUUUGCCAUGAAGCAAUAGGUGGGAGCGUAGUCAUCAUUGCCUUCAUCAGCCUCGUUGGUGAAGCCAUUUUCUUCAGAGUUGAAGAUAGACUUGCUAACGAAUGCAGUAGCGAGAGCUAGACUCGCUACACCAGACUCGGACUCCUCAGAUGCCUCCUCUUCCUCAUGUUCCUCAGAUUCAGCUUCAGAGUCCAUUUCCUUGCCAAUGAAUGCCCGAGCCUUCUUGGAGCUGCUCUUCUUGUGAGAUGAAGACUUUGAGGAUUUUGAUGAUGAAGAUUUUGAGGAUUUCUUCUUUUUCUUCGCAUCAUCAGAACUGUAUUCCUUUUAUUUCUUCUUCUUUGAUUCCUUUUCCCACUGAGGACAAUCUGAAUGUAGUGUCCAGGUUUCUUGCAUUUGUGACAAAGCCUCUUCUUGUAGUCACUGGAUGAGGAAUCAUUGCUCCUUGAGGAUCUUCCAAAGCGACCAUGUCUUGAGAGCUUCUGAAAUUUCUUCACGAGCUGUGCUAGUUCCUGGCUCAGUUCUUCAGGAUCACCAAGGCUACUGCCAGAGUCUUCAUCUUCAGACUCAGAAACUACCUUGGCCUUCAGUGCACGUGAUCUGCCAUAGCUCGAACCAUAGAGAUCUCUCUUUUCAGCAAGCUGGAACUCAUGAGUAUUUAGCCUCUCGAGGAUAUCAGCGGGAUCAAGUGACUUGUAAUCAACACGUUCUUGUAUCAUCAAUGCCAGAGUAUCAAAUGAGGAAUCAAGCGAUCUCAACAAUUUCUUCACCACCUCAUGGUCGGUGAUGUCAGUGGCACCAAGCGCUUGAAGCUCAUUUGAGAUGUCAGUGAGGCGGUCGAAGGUUAGUUGAACAUUUUCAUUGUCGAGUCUUUUGAAGCGGUUGAAGAGAUUGCGAAGAACAUCAACUCGAGAGUCACGCUGAGUUGAGACUCCUUCAUUGACUUUGGACAGCCUAUCCCAGAUAAGCUUAGCAGUUUCCAAAGCACUCACUCUUCCAUACUGUCCUUUGCUCAGAUGGCCACAUAUGAUAUUCUUUGCUUGAGAGUCGAGUUGCUUGAAUCUCUUCACAUCAGCAACAUUCAGAGAAGGUGUGACUGAGGGAACACCAUUUUCCACAACAUACCAGAGAUCGUUAUCAAUUGCCUCAAGAUGCAUUCGCAUCUUAUUCUUCCAGUAGGGGUAGUCCGUCCCAUCGAAGGUAGGACACCCAGUAGAGACCUUGAUCAUACAUGCGGUCGACAUAACUAAAACUCCAGGCGGUUAAACCAAAAUCACACAGAACAAGGGAGUACCUUGCUCUGAUACCAAUUGAAAGUGCGUUAUAUCGACUAGAGGGGGGGGGUAAUAGGCGAUUUUUAUGAAUUCUUCACUGAGGAAUUUGCCGGUGAAGAAAUUCCUUAGCGAAGAACUACUUGUAGUGGAAUAAGUACUCAAAAGUAAACAUAACAGAAUACAAGCAUGGUCAUCAUGAUGAAAUGAAGACAGACACAGAGUACAGAAAGCGUAAACACAUGAUAACAUAGAAUGAAGACAAACAGACUGAAGAAAUUGAACUGAGGAAAUUGAGAAAGUCUUCAGUCAAAGUCUUCAAACACAGAUAUGACAAGCACACAACACAGUAAUGAGGAAAUGAAAGAGUUGAGGAAAUAGAACCAGUUGGCUUGGUGAAGACAAUGAUUUGGUAGACCAGUUCCAACUGCUGUCUCAGUUGUACAUCUGGUUGGAGCGACUAGGUAUUUAAACCUGAGGACACACAGUCCCGGACACACAGUUCUCACCAUAUUCUCCUUGAGCUAAGGUCACACAGACCUCGCCCAAUCACUCGUGGUAAGUCUUCAGGUGACUUCCGAACCUUCACAAACUCGGUCACUCGGCGAUCCACAAUUCCUCUUGGAUGCUCUAGACCAUGACGCCUAACCAUCUGGAAGAAGCACAGUCUUCAAAGGUAACAAGCAUCGGAUCCAUGCAGGAUCAAUCUCUUCAGUGAUGCUCAAUCACUUGGGGUUUGUAGGUGUUUGGGUUUGGGUUUUCCUCACUCGAUGAUUUUCGCUCAAAGUCCUCGGAGGAUGGGAUGCUCUCAAAUGACAAGUGUCAGUUUCUCUCGGAGCAGCCAACCAGCUAGUGGUUGUAGGGGGCGGCUAUUUAUAGCCUAGGGAGCAGCCCGACAUGAUAAGACAUAAAUGCCCUUCAAUGAUAUGACCGUUAGGUGGGAAGAUAUUUUGGGACAGCUGGCGCAUAGCACAGCAACGGUCGGAUAUUUGAGGCUCAAAUUCCUCAGGGCUAUCAUGUUCCUCACUGUGUAGGCAAUCCGCACUGGCGAAUUCCUAACUCCUCAGUCAGAACAAAUUCCUCAAAGACCAGAAGAACUUCGUCUCUGUCACUGAAGAAUAUGACUGAACUGUAUGAGAUUUCCAAUGGCUUCACUCGAAGGGAUUGGUAGGUAUAGGAUUUUGAGUUGAGCAUCACAUGGAAAUUUUUCUUAAUAUUUCCUCGACCCCCUUUAACGGUACGAUGUUUCCUAUGAUUCAAGAAAAAGAAAAUGAAACUACGAAAACAAAAGUCUUCACGCUUCAUGUUCCUCGAAUGAAUACCAAGUCUUCAAGGUCACACCAAUUUCUUCACUUUCAAAGUCUUCAGAAAGUCUUCAGAAAUCGAAAGUCUUCAGUCGAAGAACUUCAUUUUUAGGGGUCGACUUUCUCUGUAAAUAUCAAACUCCUCAUAGACUUAUAGACCUGUGUACACUCACAAACGCAUUAGUCCCUUAACCUAUAAGUCUUCAAUACACCAAAAUCACUAAGGGGCACUAGAUGCACUAAGAUCUUUGCCUUCAGCAGAGAGGGUGCUGUUGAAGAAUUUGGUGCAGCUGAGGAACUAGCAGAAGCUCCUGAGGCAAUAGAGAUGCCUGUAGUCCUUUGGCACGUGGCAAGAUGCACAGAUGCUGAGGACUUGGUUGGAGCAGCUGAGGACUUUGGAGGAGGAGGAGCAGCAUGAGGAAUUGGCCGUGAGGUCUUUGAGGAUUCUGGCCGUGAGGUCAUAGCUGAGGAACUUGGCCUUGAGGGCAUUGAAGGUGAAGCACUUGACUUGUGCGCAGGCUUCUUUGCCAUGGAUUUCUUCGGCUUGACAGAGGCCUCAGCGGCAGCAGCAGCAGCACAGUCUUCAUUGAAUUUCCUCACUGCUUCUCUGGCUUGUCUAGCCAACUUGGGCUGGCGCUUGUCCCAUUCGUCAGGAUAGUCCUCACCGCGCUUGAGGCUGGUGGGAUCAGCUAUUUGGCCAGGUGCCAAUGGAGGUCUUGGGCAUGGAGUAUUGAGUGCGAAUUUCUUCAUGUAUUUAGGAGUAACAUAUCUGUACUCCCUCCACUCCCUUACCCAUCUCCUCUCUAUCCUCUGUAUGCGCACCUUGCGCUGAUUCUUGUCCUCCUUACCAAACUUGGCCUCAUUAGGAGUGCAAUAGUCUUUGUAUAUAUCAUCAGGGAUCUCAAAGGCAGUAUCUAUUUCAGGCCUCUUUCCUCCUUUCUGUGGCUUCUUUCCAUCAGCCAUUUUCUUUGGUUGAGGAAUUUGAACAAUUGAAUUUUCUGAAGAAGUAUGCAACUUUUCUUCGAGGAACGCUGCAAAUGAGUUAAGUUGAUGAGAACCUAGUGAUUCAGCAGCGGACAUGAGUACCUGUGAACAGAGUAUAGUUGCGAGGAAUUUGGAGAGGUCAUAUGCAUUCUCAGAAGAUUUUGUAAAAAGAACAAGUUUGAGGAAUUUGACCAGAUGAGUCUUGAAGAAUUUCACUAAGCGUUCUUUGUCUUAGGUUCCAGAGUUGUAUAGAUCGAAGAUCCACACAAUUGAGGAAUCUUGAAGAAAAAAUAUUGCUUAGAGAAAUGAAUCAAGAAUAGAUGACAUGUGAGGUGUUUAGUGUGUGAAGAAUUUGAAGAAUAAACACCUUUGAAGAUUUUGUAGAAAUCAUUUGAAUCAAAGAGGGUGGUAAAAGUAACUUUUAAUUACCCUGGACGAAGAACACGACGAACUUGGAUGUGGAGAUGAGAAGUUCGUCUGUGUAGAUCUUCCACGCCCUAACUCGGCAGAGGAAGACAGCUACGGCAGCGGCGGAGUGAAGAUUUCCGCGGCUGGCGCGAGUACGACGGCGACGAGGUCGAGGCAGUGAAGCUCUUCCUCACCGGCGAUGAUGAAGUAGCGGCGGCGCUAGGGUUUGAGAAGCUCGAGCUGGAGAGAGGUCGAGCGGAGUAAAGGAAGUGAGGAAGGGAAGGGGGUAUUCAUAGCCACGGUGAAAAACUGUUCGCCGGAAGAUUUUCGACGAACGUGCCCCUGACCCUUCUCAUUCGCUUGACAUGUGUCACCCACGUACUGAGAAGUGGAGAUCGUGGGUGAAUAGAUAAGUAUUUUGUGGGAUGCGGAACGGUUUGAGCGGCAAAACCAAUUUUUUUGGAUAAGAUAAGUUUUAACGUUUCGUUCGCAAAUUCUUCAGCUCACAAGGACACAGUGAAGAUUUUGAAGGAGUUUCAAAUAGAACGCACAUGAAGAAUUUGUGAAUAGAAUGGGUUGAGUUUAGCAUAGAGGGGUUAGGGUCCGAUCACAUUCACUUAGCAGAAAAAGCAACUUGAAUAAUUAGCCAUAAGUGAAUGCUGUAGAGGACAUAAACUCACACACACACACACACACACACACACACACAUAUAUAUAUAUAUAUAUAUAUAUAUAUGUAUAUAUAUAUAGCUAGUAAAAAAUGACGGAAACAGUGAAGACAAUGCAAAGUUGAAGAAAAUUAACAACUGAGGAAUUUCAAAACUGAGGAAAAACUCAAAUUGAAGAUUUUCAACUUUUGGUGGUGGCGUGACCCACCAUAUAAGAAUGAUGAUUUCAGACACCGCGUACAAUUGUCGUAGGGUUCUGAGAAUCAAAUUCUUCGUUAAUUUCUUCACACUUAGAGUGUUAGUCUUCAUUGAUUGAAGAAAAACGUUUCUUCAUGUGUUGCACAUCUAAGUCAUCAAUUUUGCAUAAGUGUUAGGAUGAGUGUCCUUUUCAAAGAACAUUCGAAGAUUCUAAGAUAUUUAGCUCACACCGCAACUUGCUAAAUCUCUUCUCAUCCAAGGGCUUUGUGAAGAUAUCGGCUAGCUGUUCUUCAGUCUUCACAUGCUCAAUAGAAAUGUCGCCCUUCAACACAUAAUCACAAAGAAAAUGAUGACGAAUCUGAAUGUGCUUUGUCUUCGAGUGCUGAACUGGGUUGUGAGCAAUCUUGAUGGCACUCUCAUUGUCACAGAAGAGAGGCACAUUCUUCACGUUGACGCUGUAGUCCUUGAGAGUUUGCUUCAUCCACAGCAAUUGAGCACAGCAAGAACCAGCAGCAAUGUACUCAGCUUCAGCAGUAGACAGUGAUACGCAGUUCUGUUUCUUCGAGUACCAACAGACCAAAGUUCGUCCGAGGAAAUGACAUGUACCAGAUGUUGACUUGCGGUCCACACGAUCACCAACAUAGUCAAAGUCAGAAUAUCCAAUGAGAUCAAAAGUCGAGCCCUUGGGGUACCAUACUCCAAGUGUUGGUGUGUGAGCUAGAUAUCGAAAAAUAUGCUUCACAGCCUUAUGGUGUGAUUCCUUCGGUGUAGCUUGAAAUCGGGCACACAUGCAAACACUAAGCAUUAUAUCUGGCCUAGAUGCACAUAACUACAAUAAAGAACCAAUCAUGGAGCGGUAUACCUUAUGAUCGAAGUCAAUACCAUUUUCAUCAGUGCACAGAUGGCCAUUUGUGGGCAUUGGAAUUUUGACGCCUUUGCAGUCUUGCAUGCCGAAUUUCCUCAGUACAUCCUUGAGGUAUUUCUCCUGAGAUAUGAAUAUGCCAUUGCGUUGUUGAUGAAUUUGAAGAUCUAAGAAGAAUUUCAACUCUCACAUCAUAGACAUUUGAUAUUCUUCACUCAUCAUAUAGGCAAAUUCAUCACUAUAACGUUGGUCAGUACAACCAAAGAUAAUAUCAUCAACAUAUAUUUGGCACACAAACAGUUCACCAUCAUAAGAUUUAGUGAAAAGAGUAGGGUCGAGUGAACCGGGUUUGAAGCCUUUCUUCAUGAGGAAUUCCUUCAAAGUAUCAUACCACGUCCGUGGGGCCUGCUUGAGGCCAUAGAGGGCCUUGUUUAGUCUGAAGACUUUGUCAGGAUGCUUAGGAUCUUCAAAACCUGGGGGUUGAGCAACAUAUACUUCUUCCUCAAGCUUACCAUUGAGGAAUGCACUUUUCACAUCCAUUUGAUAUAAAGUGAUAUCAUGAUGGUUAGCAUAAGCAAGUAAUAUGCAAAUAGCCUCAAGUCUAGCAACAGGUGCAAAAGUUUCAUCGAAAUCAAUUCCUUCAACCUGUGUGUAGCCUUGAGUUACAAGCCGUGCCUUAUUCCUAACCACAAGGUCAUUUUCAUCUUGCUUGUUGCGGUAGAUCCACUUUGUGCCAAUGAUAUUGUGCUUGCGAGGAUCUGGACGUUUAACCAGUUCCUAGACGUUGUUGAGCUCGAAUUGAUGUAAUUAUUCUUGCAUGGCCUGAAUCCACUCAGACUCCAGAAAUGCUUCAUCUACCUUAGUGGGCUCCGUGAUAGAGACAAAAGCAUAGUGCCCACAAAAGUUAGAUAAAUGUGAAGUUUUUGAGCGUGUGAGAGGACCCGGUGCUUCAAUGUCAUCGAUGAUCUUUUCAACUUGCACUUCUUUUGCAACGCGAGGAUGAGCUGGUUGUCGUCGAGGAAUUUGAUCAGCAUUUUCUUCAGCACCAUUUUCUUCAGUAUUUUCUUCAGGUGCAUUAGCUCGACGUUCUUCACGUUCUGGAAUGAAUUCUUCAGCAGAUUCUUCAGUAGGAAUGACAUCCUCAGUAGCCUUGAACUUGAUAGUUUCCUCAGGUGCUGGUUCAUCUAUCACAGAAGGUAGGUGCUCGCUUUGCGAGCCAUUAGUUUCAUCGAACCGCACAUCUAUAGUUUCAACAACCUUGUGAAGAACGUUGUUGAAGACUAUGUAGGUGUGCGAAUCCUUUCCGUAACCAAGCAUGAAACCUUCAUGUGCUUUCGGUGCAAAUUUAGCAUUGUGAUGAGGAUCUCUAAUACAACAUUUAGCACCGAAGACUUUGAAAUAACUCACAUUGGGUGUCUUGUCAGUGAGGAGUUCAUAGGCAGUCUUCUUGAAGAAUUUGUGAAGAUAUACCCUGUUGAUGAUGUGGCACGCAGUAUAAAUUGCUUCAACCAGAAGUGACGAGGCAUCUUGUACUCAUCAAGCAUAGUGCGAGCCAUCUCAACAAGAGUUCUGUUCUUGCGCUCCACGACGCCAUUCUGCUGAGGAGUACAAGGAGCAGAUAACUCAUGAGUAAUACCAAGUUCAUUAAGAUAGUCAUCAAGACCAGAAUUCUUGAACUCAGUUCCAUUGUCACUUCUGAUGUGCUUGAUCUUCACAACAAAGUUGGUAGAAGCCCUCGAGGAAAAUCGUUUGAAGACUUCCUGCACUUCAUGUUUGUAAGUAACAAUGUGUACCCAUGUGUAUCGAGAGUAAUCAUCAACAAUAACAAAGCCAUAGAGAGAUGCGUGAGUUGUGACUGCUGAGUAAUGAUUAGGACCGAAGAGAUCCAUGUGAAGCAAUUUAAAUUGGCGAGUGGUAGUCAUGAUAGUCUUCGCUGGAUGCUUAGCCUUUGUCAUCUUCCCAGCUUCACAGGCUCCACAUAAGUGAUCCUUGAGGAAUUUGACAUUCUCAAUGCCAAUGACAUGCUUCUUCUUCACAAGCGUGUGCAAAUUCUUCAUGCCUGCAUGACCAAGUCGUCGAUGCCAUAGCCAGCCUUCUGAAGCAUUUGCAAGUAGGCACACGGCUGGUUGCGGUCCUGUAGAGAAAUCAACAAUAUACAAGUCUCCUCUCCUAAAGCCUUCGAAAACUUUGGAAUUGUCAGCUUCCAUAACCACAACACAACGAUACUUGCCAAAGACAACAACCAUAUCAAGAUCGCAAAGCAUUGAGACAGACAUGAGGUUGUAUACUAAGGACUCGACAAGCAUGACUUUGUCCAUGUGUCGAUCCUUUGUGAUCGCAACCUUACCUAGACCCAAUACCUAACUUUUGCCUUUGUCAGCGAAGAUGAUAUGCUUCAGAUGAGAUGGAGAUAAGGUAGCAUCCAUCAAUAGAUUCUUGUCACCAGUCAUGUGAUUUGUACAUCCACUAUCGAGGACCCACUCAGUGGCUUUGGGUUGAUCAUCCUGCAGAUGAAUUAGUGCAACUUACGAACUCAUAUACUUCAUCAGUGAAGAAUAUGACAUCAAUUCAUUAGAUCAAUUUCAUCAAGUAAUAGAACAGAUAAAGCAGUAUGAGGACGUGAGAAAUGAAAGUUCAUUUCUUCAUGAUGAGCCUGCGUCCUUUCAGGCACUUUUCAGGUCUCCAGCAAAUUCUUCAGACGUUCACGCACGUCUGGAGACCUGACCCUGCAGAAGAGAUUAGUUUUUUUUCUUCACCACCCAUAUCUGAAGGGGUGGCAAAGAGUUCAUCACUCUGCGAGCUCCAUACGAGAAAGGUGGCAUAGAAGCAAAUCCAUUCCGUUUCACAUAAGAGGAGUUAGGGUAAGCAUAUGAAUAAGCAGAGAAAUUCUUCGAGGACUUAUGAACAUAAUGAUUAGAAGAAUAAUGCUCAUAUUCAUAGCCCCUAGCUCUUCCCCGCGCGAGAGAGAGUUGUUAGCACGAUGAUAAUCAUAUGAGGACUUUGAUCCUUUUGAGGAAUAUGAUCCACGUGAGGAAUUCGGUCCGUAUGAGGACUUGGAUCCAUAUGAAGAAUUUGGUCCACAUGAAGAAUUUUAUCUGGGGUUCCUAUUCUUUACAGGUGGUGUCAUGAGGACAUUCACCUGAAUACUUUCAAGGCACCUUUUGGGAACCCAGAUUUUCUUCAUAGGGGAACCGUUCCUGCAGUUAGUGCCAACAUAUCUAGCAAAUACUUCACCAUUCUGAUUUUUGAACAGUUUAUAGUUGGAGUCAAAUGCCUCAUGAGGAGAUUCACAUGUAAAGCCAGAUAGAUUAGAUGGAUCAACUGGAGGUCCCUUUGCAGCAACCCAUGAGGUUUUGGGGUACUGCUCAGGCUUCCAAUAUGUACCAUCAGCAUUGAGUUUCCUCUCAAAGGCAAUAUCCUCUUUCCUAGGGUUCCUGUUGAGGAUCUGCUUUUUAAGCACAUCACAAAGAGUCCGAUGCCCUUUGAGGCUUUUGUACAUGCCUGUCAUGUACAAUUCCUUCAGCCCUGCAUCGUCAGUGAUACUAGCAAUGUCCUCAGAUGAGGAAUUAGUGACAGCAGAGGCAGGUGAGGAAUUUUUAACAUUAGAAGCAUUUGAACAUUCAGGUGAAGAAUUAGCAGAUUCACAUUCAAUGCAUUUCAAAUAUGGAGGAACAAAUUCUUCCUGAGUAGGACUGAUUUGUUGAGCAAGUAAUUAAUCACGCUCCUUCUGAAGAUCUUCAUAACUCACUCUUAGCUUCUCAAGAUCUUGCUUUCUUUGAAGAAAUUCAUGAGAAAGCUUCUCAUGAUCAGAUAAGAGAGUGUUAUGUUGAUCUUGAAGGGUGUCAUACUUAGUAUGAAGUCUCUGAAGACUUUCAGCCAAAACUUUUGACGGAUCCAUUUCUUCACCCAACAUAUCAUCGCUCCUAUUUAGCAUGUAUUGAACUUUUUCCAAAGCUCAUUGCUGUUUAGUGGCAAGGGAAGCAAGUUUGACAUAGCUGGGUCCAAAUUCAUCAUCACUGGACUCGGAUAGGUAGCAUUCAGUUACCUCAGCACUUUUUGCCAUAAGGCAUGAUGAAGAGGAUGAUGAUCCUGGUUCAAAUGUCAUCGCUUUGAGAGAUUCCUUGAAGUCCUAAAACCAAGGAUCAUGACGGGUUCGAUGACCUUCAUAGACCUCAGAGAGACGGUCCUAGAUAAGCUUCGCAUGAUCGAGAUGCAUGAUGUUCUUGAACUGAUUUUGAGACAGACAGGAGCAGAUGACGUCCUUCACCGUGAGAUUUAGAAGAGUGUACUUGCGAAUGUCAUCAGCUUCCGCCAUCUUGCAUAGAUCGGUCAGACCAAUCUCUGUGACGGUCCACAACUCGCUGUUCAUCGCCAUGAGGCGCUUCUUCAUCAUGGCCUUCCACUUGGGAUACUCGUGACCGUCAAAGAUGGGGCAUGACACAGUCUUCAUUCCUGUGGUCGACAUAACUAAAACUCCAGGCGGUUAAACCAAAAUCACACAGAACAAGGGAGUACCUCGCUCUGAUACCAAUUGAAAGUGCGUUAUAUCGACUAGAGGGGGGGUGAAUAGGCGAUUUUUAUGAAUUCUUCACUGAGGAAUUUGCCGGUGAGGAAAUUCCUUAGCGAAGAACUACUUGCAGCGGAAUAAGUACUCAGAAGUAAACAUAACAGAAUACAAGCAUGGUCAUCAUGAUGAAAUGAAGACAUGCAUAGAGUACAAAAAGCGUAAACACAGGAUAACACAGGAUGAAGACAAUCAGACUGAAGAAAUUGAACUGAGGAAAUUGAGAAAGUCUUCAAUCAAAGUCUUCAAAUACAGAUAUGACAAGCACACAACACAGUAAUGAGGAAAUGAAAGAGUUGAGGAAAUAGAACCAGUUGGCUUGGUGAAGACAAUGAUUUGGUAGACUAGUUCCAACUGCUGUCUCAGUUGUACAUCUGGUUGGAGCGGCUAGGUAUUUAAACCUGAGGACACACAGUCCCGGACACACAGUUCUCACCAUAUUCUCCUUGAGCUAAGGUCACACAGACCUCGCCCAAUCACUCGUGGUAAGUCUUCGGGUGACUUCCAAACCUUCACAAACUCGGUCACUCGGCGAUCCACAAUUCCUCUUGGAUGCUCUAGACCAUGACACCUAACCGUCUGGAAGAAGCACAGUCUUCAAAGAUAACAAGCGUCGGAUCCACGCAGGAUCAAUCUCUUCAGUGAUGCUCAAUCACUUUGGGUUUGUAGGUGUUUGGGUUUGGGUUUUCCUGACUCAAUGAUUUUCGCUCAAAGUCCUCGGAGGAUGGGAUGCUCUCAAAUGACAAGUGUCAGUUUCUCUCGGAGCAGCCAACCAGCUAGUGGUUGUAGGGGGCGGCUAUUUAUAGCCUAGGGAGCAGCCCGACAUAAUAAGACAUAAAUGCCCUUCAAUGAUAUGACCGUUAGGUGGGUAGAUAUUUUGGGACAGCUGGCACAAGGCAGAACAACGGUCGGAAAUUUGAGUGCCAAAUUCCUCGGGGCUAUCAUGUUCCUCACUGUGUAGGCAAUCCGCACUGGCGAAUUCCUAACUCCUCAGUCAGAACAAAUUCCUCAGAGACCAGAAGAACUUCGUCUCUAUCACUGAAGAAUAUGACUGAACUGUAUGAGAUUUCCAAUGGCUUCACUCGAAGGGAUUGGUAGGUGUAGGAUUUUGAGUUGAGCAUCACAUGAAAUUUUUUCCUUAGUAUUUCCUCGACCCCCUUUAACAGUACGGUGUUUCCUAUGACUCAAGAAAAAGAAAAAGAAACUAUGAAAACAAAAGUCUUCACGCUUCAUGUUCCUCGAAUGAAUACCAAGUCUUCAAGGUCACACCAAUUUCUUCACUUUAAAAGUCUUCAGAAAUCGAAAGUCUUCAGUCGAAGAACUUCAUUUUUAGGGGUCGACUUUCUCUGUAAAUAUCAAACUCCUCAUAGACUUAUAGACCUGUGUACACUCACAAACGCAUUAGUCCCUUAACCUAUAAGUCUUCAAUACACCAAAAUCACUAAGGGGCACUAGAUGCACUUACACCAACAUGAGUCCACAUAUGCUCAACCAAAUCAUAUUGCAGUUGCACGUGAGUUUCCCAAUCACGCAUGUCUUCAUGAAACUGAGUAAACUGCUCAAAUGUUGCCGCUACUCCAUGCUCAGGCACAACAUUCUCACCCUGAAACUGAAAGCCUUGAUCGUACAGACAUUCCGGGCGCUCGUCUUCUACGGUCAUAUUGUGCAUGAUCACACAAGCAGUCAUCACCUCACAAGAAGGAAAUGCCCGCUCUCUCGGUUACGAUUCAAAGCCGGAAGGUGGCCCGGAAUGGAGCCACGGAACAACGGCCGCUGGUUGUUGAGGUGGUGAUGGACCAACACGGCAGCCAAUAUCUCCUCCUCGUCGUCGGACGACGAAUCGUCGGAGUCGCAAAGGAAAUUGUGGAAAAAGAACUCGUUGGCGGAGUCCAUUUUCGUACCUUGGCAAACUGUCGAACAGCUUGCGGGCGUCGAAGAAGGAGACGGCCGGCGAGGGGAGACGCGGCGCCCACAGACCAGCUAGCUGCCCUGCCGGCGUCCGACGAGCGUGCUGGUCGGAUGUGGCGGGGGCGGCGAGGCGUCUUCUUGGUCGCGGGCGGCUGUGCGGUGGGGGAAGCGGCGGCGGGAACCAGUUUGCUCCCCGGCGGCAAAACGGCGGCGGCGGGUGACUAGGGGCAGGGGUGGCGUUGCUGGGCGGAGGUGGAGGCGGCGGCAGCUGGAAGAGUCGCCGGCAAAAAUGGGCGGCGGCGUCGGUGACGGAGGAGGCAGGGCGAGGGUUGCUUGUUGGCCGGGGGGGUGAGAGGAGAGGCCAAUGUGCCACAUACCAGCGGGCCCGGGGACAGGAGUAGGCGAGCGCGCGCGCGUCCGUCGCGUGUUCGCGCCGACGCAAAUCAGGCUCAAAAAUGGGUCGGGAAUGGAUCGCCCGCGGACGAAAAACGGACGCGCGUCCGUUUGGGUCAACGCGUUGGGCCGCCUUUUCUGUCCGCGCCGACCCAAACGGACGGCCGCGGACGAAAUGGGUCGCCCCAUUGGAGUUGCUCUUAUUGCCUCGAGGGCAUAUUUCCUUCAUCUUCAAGGAGGACGGGUCCGGCUACGAGGCUCCGAAUGACGAGGAUCUCACGCUCCACAUUGCCAUCGAGCGGUCGCGGGUGGACAUUGGCGGGAGCUUGAGCUCUGCGCCGUCUCUAGUGACCCGGCAACGCAUUGCGGCCAAUGCGGAGGCCCAUUGCUUUGCGCGCCGCGCCAGAGCCGUCAGGCGUGCUACUCCCCUUCCCCUUCGCUGCCAGCUCCUCUCGAGCAGCGUUGGGUGCUCACGCCCGCGCAGAGCCAGUGGAUGAGGAUGCGGAGUCGGAGGCCAAAGCCUCCCGCCGUGAGAGGUAGCGGGCCACGCAGAGGGCAGUGGAGGCUGGCUCCUCCCGCACAUGCACGAGAUCCGCGCUAUUAACCCGGUGGAGCAGCUCCUCUGCGAUGUCCUUGCCGAUCGUUGACCGGCGGAGACGGACGCGAGGCGCCUCCGCGGCAAGUAGCGAAGGCGCUCCGGCUUGGCAUCGAAGAGUUGGAGUGCCUCACGAUGGAGAAGGAGACCGCUAAGGUCAAGGCGACACGACUCGUGAAGGAGCAGGCCCCCGUCAUGAAGUCUCGCCGGCAUCAUCUCGUCGUCGUCGGACAACGGUACCAUGAGCGCAAACCUCCGGACACGGACGCCUGCACGGAGGACUAAUACCACCGCCGUGGUGACCGCAAGGGGAAGAUCUUGGCGAGGAAAUGGUGAUGUCUGCCGCCCCGCUCCGUCGAUCUAGUUUAUUUUGUACCUAGUUUAAUCUGCCCGCCGAUAAACUAUGUCCCAUGAACUCUAUUCGAUGAACUCUGUCUUUUGGAUUCGAUUGUGCUAUAUAUAUGUAGGUUUGAUCCACGUUGCAAUUUUUAUUUGUGUAGUUGCAUGGAUUGCAUGGAUUUGGUAGACAAACGUUUGCGGAGCAUGACUUUGGGCAAGGAUAAAUGAGGGUGAUCGGUCACUGUCCACGCAUUUCACAGGCUCGUCCGUGGAUGUACAGGAGUCACAUUUGACAAUCUGGAUUGUUUUUUUAGGGACGUAUAUAGCAUCCUGACUGUAGAAUGUAGAUGCUCUUAAUGCUGACUACGGUGCUGGAGAAAGAGAGGGGGUUGCUUCCACCGCGGCGGCGUUCCCCUUGCACCAGGCGGCUACAGUCAGCAGCGGCUCAGCCCGAGGUACAUCCAAGGGGAAGGGAAAGAUGCGCGUGGACACGAGUGACGCAAGCGCGGACGCAAUGAAACGCAACCACCGGUGGGUUUCUUUUCCGUCCUUGAGCACGAAGACGCCAGCCCGGCUGCAUGUAGGCCUUGACCGGACCAAAUCCAACCUACUCUAGUACUCUGCUAUAGUUGGUUCUACUAACCGUACGUGCGCCAUGAGCCCAUGACAAGUGUUCCAUAACUCUGGUUGGUCAAUGGUCAGAGAAGUUUGUCGAGUGUAUGUAUCGACAAACAGCAGGAGAGGAGGCUGCUGUAGAGUAGAGUGCUCCUAUUUUGCUCCGCCGUGCACGAGGUGCAUGCAUGAACAUCCUAUAUGGCCAUGUACCUCGAGUCUGAUCGGUGCAGCGCUGGAAUAGGGGCGUUGCUCAUGGCACGCAUGUACGGAUGUACCAAUGCGCGAAACGUCGCUCGUUGUGCUGUCCCCAGACAAAUAUGACGCCUUUCCCGUUUCCACAAUGGUUGUGUCAGCGGAUUUGCAAUGACCCUUGGACGGUGCGGUGCUUGGGAUGGUGCGGCUUUUGACGGCGCCGGAGCAUGGUUUAGAUAACCGUGGCCAUGCCAGACGGAGGGGCUGUUGGCCCGCUUCAAUGUGGUGCAGCGGGCGGAGUUGGUUUCUCGGGACGCGACGUCCAUAUUAAAGCGGCGGCGACGUUCGAGGGGUCGCGUCCGUAUGCGCCGCCUUCUCGUCCGGUCAAAUCACGGCAUCAACACCGGCCGCUACAUGUUCUGGGCUGGCAUGAAGGCGGCGUGACGCGUGGGAUGAAAAGUGCGGGUGGGUGGUUUUGGUGGGUCAAGACGGUAAGAUGAGGGCUUGGGAGCGGUCCGGACUCCUGCAAAGCCCCCCAUGUUUGUCUGCGGUUUGCAGAAGAAAUCGCGUCCGGACCGCGCCACAGACUGAUACAGGACCGUGUUGGAUGGCUUCUGCGGUCCGGACAACGCGGCCAGACAUAUGCAGGUGGUUUGCGGGUCCGCCUUGAAGAUGCCCUAACUAUCGCCGAGGAAGAAAUGUGUGUCGAACCCCCUCCCCCUACCUUCCUCGUCUGCGUCAUUCCCGUGAGUGGCCAGCCGGGCAUCGUUCUCCUACACCUCUUCAUCCCUGAUCUCCCUUCUCCCCUCCUCGCCGCCAUCGGAGGGCCCUGUUGGGUGGAGUCUAGGCGACGGUGAGGCUCUCGUUCCUCCCAUGCAUGGCGGCGACGCGUGACGUGGCACACGGUCUGGAGUGCGGUGGUGGGGCUACUAGCCACGUACGCUGAUGCAAGCGUGGUGGCUGCAUGGGAAUGGCGGGCGCGCUUGUGGUGGCAUCGCCGCAAAUCAGGCUCGUUGGCGGCCAUGGGCAACGACCUCUUUGUGAGCGCAGGGCAUGGAUUAGGAGCUACUGUCCCCCGCGUUUCACGGCGGAAAAACGAGCAAUCACGCACCCUCCCUCCUCGUUUGUAUGCUUUUGCCGACCCUGUUUGACUUUGAAAAAGUGUGGGGUAGGGCACUCCUGCUUUCUUUUGUUUAUAUUUUUAACUUUGAAAACCGUUCACGAAUCCCAAAUUUGAAAAGGGUGUCCAUGAUUUUAAAAAAAAUAUGAAGUUCAAAAAUGUUCACGAAUUUGGAAAUGUUCAUGGAUUCCGAAUACGUUCUAAAAUUUCAAAAAAUGUUCUUAGUUCCAAAAACUGUUCAUGAAUUUGAUUUUUCUGAAUAUAAAAAAUAAAGUUCAUGAAUUUCAAUUUUCCCCAUAUUUUUUUUUGAAUUUGAAUAAAUUUUCUGAAUUAAAAAAAUGUUUCUAAAUUUCAAAAAAAGUUCAUGAUUUUGAAAUUUGUUCCUGUAUUUAAAAAUGUCACUAGAUAAAAAAAUGUUCAUGAAUUUGUAAAAUAUUUCCAAAAUUCAAAAAAAUAUUAUCAAAUUUAAAUAGGUUUACAUUUAAAUAUUCGUGAAUUCAAACAAUUUUCGUGUUUCAAAAAAUUUCACGAAAUAAAAAAUAAGAGUAAGAAAAAAAAUGCAGGAAACCCCCGAUUUCGGAAGGUUCUAGGACCUUUCCAAAACUGGAAGAGGAGCCUUGCUAAAUGGACUGGCCAAAUUGUAACUAGCAGGCCACUACAGGUGCGCGUUUGAUUGACAUUCCCUGACCAACCUGGGAAUGAGAGAUCCUAUUCCCCUACCUAUGUGUCGAAUAGCCACGAAAUGCGCAACCCCUGUCCCUCCUGCGUUUUGGGCCGACCCUAGUGCAUGGAGGGGCGCCCCUUUUAUUUUGUUCCUUUUUGGAUUUCAAAAAAUAGUUCUAAAAAACUAAAAACUUAUUGGGUUUUCAAAAACAGUUCCAAAAUUCAAAAAAAAAAAUCUUCAGGAAUUUGAAAAAAUGUUCAAACAUCCAAACAGAGUUAGUGAUUUAAAAAACAUGUUCAUGAUUUUGAUUGUUUUUCUGGAAAAUAAAAAAUUCCCACAGAUUCAAAAACAUGAUCACGAUUUUUUUUUAAAUUGCGUAUUAAAAUAAUGAAUUCAAAAAAUGUUAACAAUUUUAAACAAAUGUUUCAGGAAUCAAGAAAUGUUAACAGAUUCUAAAUAUUUGUUGUUUUUGAAAAGAGUCUAAGUAUUAUGAAAAUAUUCAUCAUUUUCAAAAAAUGUUCAUGAAUUUAAAAUAUUCAUAUUUUAUGAAAAGUAUUUUGGAAUAUAAAUUGUUUGCAGGUUAAAAAAUGUUCUUAAUUUUGAAUUUUUUUCUCAUAUUCAAAUAGUAUUUGUUAUUUGACUUUUUGGGAAGAAAAAUGAAGAAACCCACAAAAAAGUGAAAAACGGAGAAACCCGAUAAAGGAAAAUGAAACCGAAGAAAACCAAUGCAAAAAAAAUGGGAACAAAGAAGCUGAGAAAGAAAUAAAGAAAAUGAGGAAGAGCAAGAAAGAAACCAAAGAAAAACAAAAAAAAACACAUUGAAAACUGAGAAAGAAAAGAAAAAUCAGUGAAAACUGUGAAGAAAACAAAGAAAGCCGGUGAAAGAACGAAGAAAACCAGAAAAAAAUGAUGAAGAUACAGAUAGAAAUAAAAGAAAACAUAAAAGAAAAUUAAAAAAAAAAAACUGGCCCGAAGUUGUUCGUGCACCGCACGAGACUAUUGAUGUGAAACAAUUGUAAGGAAAGCAAAUGAAUGAUCUUUACUGAUGUUGGUGAUUACAAUAUAUAGUCCGUGAACGGACGUUUCCUACAGACACGUCGAUUGGAGCAGGCACGAGUGGAACG